rnacentral:lncRNA from 1 species
CCUUGUUGGGUCGAGAUAUCCCUAGAUCUGUUCAUUUAGGAGUUUUAGAGCCCUGAUCUAGUGCCUUUUCGAAGUUUCUUUGCUUGAGAACCCUAGAUCUAGCCUUUAUUAUGCUUUUUGAGCCUUUUAAUCUUCAUGGGUGCAUAUGGGCACGUAAAGAUAGAAUCUUUACGUGUUAAUCGAGCUUAGGGAGCCCAGAUCUAUAAGUUUUAUGCGUUGGAUUCAAGCAGAAUCGAGUUUAUAGUAGCUGCAUGCAUGCGACUCGGCGAGUCGUUCUUCCGACUCGGUGAGUCGAGUCGUGAGUCCCCGAUUUUUCCUCUUUUGAGUAAUGCCGAGUGGGGACCAGUGAGUAGUAGAGUGGACUUAGUGAGCUGGAGGUCAGACUCAGUAAUGGAGGGACUCGACGAGUUGUUCAUACAACUCGGCGAGUCCAAGGCAAUCUUCUUAGCUCAAGAACAACUCGUCGAGUUGUUCAUACGACUCGGCGAGUCGGAUGCAGAUAGCUUGAGUUCUAGAAUCGAAAGGAAACUCGUCGAGUUUAUGCCAUACUCGACGAGUAGCAGCGAGUAGGGUUGAGAAGUGAGAAUAGGGACUAGGCGAGUUGGCGGCCCAACUCGGCGAGUCAGGUCAACUGUAGGUUGACUUUGACCAGGAGAGUUGACUUUGACCAGGGGUAAAAGAAUCAUUUUACCCCAAUACAGUGAUUAGUAUUUGAUUGAGUGUGUUUAUGGAAUUGUAGCCGGAGAGAUACCAGAGCAGCAGCAGAUAGCUUCCAGAGCCAUACAUUCAGCAGCCAGUUUACGAGGUGAGUUUCCUACCAGUAGGAACGGGUCUACGACAACAAUGCCGGCCCGUUUAGCUAGCAGUUAGUUCCGGACUUCGGUCCGAAGCAGUAGUUCAAGGUGCUUGAUGUUGUGUUUCGGGCAUGUCUAUGUGUUAUGUUAGCAGAUACGUGUUUAUGUUAUGCUAUGUUCAGACAGUUCCGGAUUUCGGUCCGAUGCAGCUAGUUCCGGACUCCGGUCCGAUGCAGGGGACAAGGUCCCAGUCAGUUCCGGAUUUCGGUCCGAUGCAGACAGUUUCGGACUUCGGUCCGAUGCAGUCAAUUCCAGACUUCGGUCCGAUGCAGUGGGCAAGGCCCAGUAUGUGCUUUAUUUGUUAUUGUGUGGUAUGCGGUAGUUUAGGGGAGCUCACUAAGCUUCGUGCUUACAGUUUCAGUUUUGGUUUCAGGUACUUCCGCAAGUAAAGGGAAGAACUCGGGAUGAUGCAUCGCACACACCACAACUUCAGUUUUUGUCGUGGGAGUUGAUUCAGUUUCUUAGAUAUGUUUUGAUACUGUUGUGACACAUUUUUUCUCACAGUAUUUUAUUAUGUGAUACUCAGUUUUAUGAUCUUUGUUAUAAUAUAAAUGAAAUUAUCGGGUCGUAUUUUUGGGAUGUUUCAAGUACCUUGUGCCACCGAUUAAAAAAAUUUUAAAAACCGAUUGAAAUAUAACUGAAAAAGACAUACAGCUUAACGAAAAACUAGUUGAUUAUUAGUCCAUUGAUAAAGCGGCGAACGCAGAGUGAGAGUCUUUGGCAUGUGGGCUUUCAUUUUAUUAGAACAACUUGUUUAUUUAUUAAUAUUUUGAGAGUGCCGAUUAAGAGUAGUUAACUUUUUAUUAUCAAUCUCAUAAUUUAAAAUAACAAAUUGUCCCUAAUAACUUAUAUUUUUCUCUUUUUAAAGUGGUUUUUUUUUUUAAAAAUAAAAAUAAAAAUAAACUCAAUGUAGGUUCUCUAUUUUUUUAAGACUAAAUUACACAGAUGGUCCCUGUGGUUGGCACGAGAGACCAAAGAUAGUCCUUAUGAGGAAUUUUGGACUUGUAUGGUCCCCGUGGUUCCAAAUUGUUGCACGAAGAGUCCUUAUGACAUACUCCGUUUAAUUGUUGUCGUUUAUUUAAAUCACGUAACCCUCACACGAGGGUAUUUUGGUCUUUUGCUUAUCCCUUCUCUCUCUCAUAUCUUUAUAUGAUCUGCAAAAGAUUUCCCUUCCCUAUAAAAAUUAAACCCCCAUCACUUCCUUCAUUAUUUUUCGUCUCCUCUAUUCUCUCUUCUCUCUUCUCUCUGCUGUGUCUUUCUAAGAAACUUUGCUUAAGAAUGGUAAAUUGUUUUUGUGGAACGCAAGCGGUGAUAGUGACAUCAUGGAUGGAUCUCAACCCAGGUUGUAUGUUUUGGAAAUGUCCUAGCAGUUGCGGUUUCAUUGCCUGGUUUGAUGAGCCGAUGUGUCGAAGGGUUGUGGCUGUCAUUCCAGGUUUGCUAAGAUCCAUGAACAAGCUUCAAGAAUCUCUGCUGCAAGCAAGUUUUGAAGCAAAAAAAGUGAAGAUGAUGCUAGUUUUUAGUUGGGUUUUCUUUUUCAUGUAUGUGUAUAAAAGAUGCUAAUAGUAUUAGUCUGGAGAUGAUGGUUCUUUUGCUUGUGGGUAGAUGAUGGUUCUUUUGCUUGUGGUUAGAAUCAGAUAAUAGUAUUAAUUUGAAGAUGAUUUCGUUUUGUUUGUUUGUGAUGCAAGAAAUGUUCGUAUGUAUGAAUGGAAUGCUUUUUAUUUGGGAAACUUUUAGUCUGCUACCAUUGUAAAAUAUUGGUCAGGAACUUAAUGAGUGUAAAAUAUUGGUCUGCAACUUAAUGAACCGUGCAGAUCCAUUAAAGUAUAAAAUAUGAAAGUGAAAGGUUUUUGUAGGCUUUAGACCAUUGUAGAGCCAUAACAACAUUAGAAAUGUUCAAAAAUAAAAUGCAAACUUUUGCAUAGUCAUAAAGUUCAUUACAUAACCUUAAAGUGCAAAGUCAUAAUACCAAAAAAAUAUCAAAAGAGCUUGCAGACUAAUGUAUCAUAACCAAAAGAACCAUCUUAGUCUAGCACCCUGUGUGAACCAUAAUACCAACAAAAGAUAAAGACACACAAUAACCAACUUAGUCUGACCUUUCUAAGGUACCAAAACAAACAACACAAAAGACCUUUCUAAGGUUCCAUAACAAACAACACAAAAGACAACAAAUCAAACUUUUUCCUUCAUUUUGGAUUUAUCCUUAAGUUUGGUUUUCUCCUUCAUUUUGGGUUUCUCCUUUUUUCCAUCUCCCUGCUUCUUUGCCUUGCUAAGCUUCUUGCCCCCUGCCACCACAUUUCUAACUUCAGUUUGUCCCCCUUGUCCCUUGCAACUCCUAGAGUUGUGACCCUUGUUAUUGCAUUUGCUACAAGUAACUGUAAGGAACUUCUUGGUCAAACUUUUACCUUGAUUAUUUGGUUCUUCAGUUUGAGCUCUCUUUCUCUUCUUUUUUGGUCUCCCCACCUGCAUAAUUAAUAAAUUAUAAAACAGUAUAAACGUAUACUAACUUGUAAAUUGAAAAUUAUUUACCUGUUUAGUAUGCUUAGGAGGUGUUAGUGUUAUGGGGAAAUCUGACUUUGGCCACAUACUUCUUCCAUUGAUAGGUUGAACUUUGUACUUGUACAUUUCAUUCCAUGUGCUUAACCUAUAACAUGGAUGUACCCACUCCUCAAGAGGUGGGACAUUUUUUCCCAGUGCCUGCAACUACAAUUCCUGUCCCUCCAAUUAACCACAAAUUGUUCCCCCAUUGUCCCAGUAACUUGAGUCUUAUCAGCACCAUUAAAUAUGCAAGUGUAUUGAGAAGCAUCUUUCUUAACUCCAUCUAAAAGUUUUGUGGCUGGGGGGGGGAGAGGGGCNUUAUCUAUCACAUUUUGCACAAUACAAAUUCGUUUCAUUAAGUAUUCCCUAAUAUAUUCUAAACAUGUAAUUAUAGGUUUGUCUCGAGCAUCUAACAACUUUGAGAUGAAAACUUCACAUAAAUUAUUCAACAAAAUAUCUGUAUGUGCUCUUCCUGUACAAUGCAACAAAAUAUCUUAUAAGAAUCUGUCAAAGUGUAAAUCUUCCUUGAAUCUGUCAAAGUGUCUAACUGUUGUUGCUGUUGCACAUUCCCAUAAAUGAUCUCUGUGCUCCUUCCCCCUCCAUUGUAGCUUCAUGUUUUCGUGAAUAUGUCUUAAACAGAACCUGUGUUCAGCGCUAGGUAAUAGGUUGGCAAUGGCAGAUAAAAUCCCCUAAUUAACAAGUAACAAAAAUGUUAUUUUCUAAAUGUAGUAGACAAAAUUACAAAGAUGUCAUGAACAAGUAUCAUAAGAAGAUUAACCUUUUGCCUGUCAGAAAUAAAUGUGAAGUUUGAAUUUGUAGAGAGCUCCAAAUCUUCACCUAGACACUCUAGAAACCAACUCCAUGAGCUUUUGUUCUCGGCUUCAACUAUGGCAUAUGCUAGUGGGUAGAUCCGAUUAUUGGAAUCAAGACCCACAACAGUGAGAACCUAUCCAGUGUAAGGUCCCUUCAUGAAAGCCCCAUCGAAACCUAAAAAAUCUCUUAAACCUGCCUUAAAACCCAGUUUUAAUGCACCUAAACAGACAUAAAUUCUCUUAAACAUCCUAGUUUCCAAGUCUGCAUUUGGUUCACUGUAUACAUCAAUCUUCACAAUUGUUCCUGGGUUGCACUGUUGUAAUUCUAAUACGUAAUCCCUGAGAAGGCUGUAUUGCUUUUGAUAAUCUCCAUAAACAUGUUUCUGUGCAAGUUGUUUAGCCCUAAAGACCUUCAUUCUUGACAUCCCCACCUCGUAUAUCUUUUGUAACUCUACACACAAAGCUUUGACUGGGAUAGUUGGGUUUCCUUCCACUUCUUGAAGAAUGAUGGUUGUAAGAAACUUAGGCCUCAUUUGAUAGUUGCCGAUUGAGAAAGUGCUGACUGAGAAAGGUCUGUCUGGGUAAGAAAUCCUGAUUGGGUAAGAAAUCCUGUUGUUUGAUUGUACAUCUGACUGAAUGUGCUGAGUGAUGAAAAAUGACCAUUUUACCCUGCUGUUAUAUAUAUAUAUUGAUGGAUUAAAUUGCUGAAUAAUUAUAAAAACAUACAUAUUGUCAUACAAAAUGUAAAUUACACACAAAUAAAAAAUGUCAUACAAAAUGUAAAUUAAACAUAAAUCAUUUAAUAUCCAAAUAAAAACAUAAUGAAAUUUAAAAUAACAUAAUAAUUUAAUGUAAAGUAGGUGAAAGUAGUCGAUUUGCAAUCUGAUCACGCAAAACACGCAUAUAUUCAACGGCUUCUGGACCCCAUUCUAUGCCUUGUAUGUUUUCUCUAUCAAUUCCCCCACCUUGGACGUCAGGAGUAACCAUAGUGUCCUCCUCAAAAUUUCUAAACAAGUCAUCUUCUAUAUUGUAUUUCCUUAUAAAAUUAUGGACCGCGACACAAGCAAUGACUAUGUCUCUUUGCACUGUAAAAGGAUAAGGAGCCAUUUGUUUUAAGAUUGGGAAUCUCGCCUUCAAUACACCAUAAGCACGCUCAAUAACAUUUCUAAGUUGUGCAUGAGCAUGAUUGAACCUUUCUUCUCUAGUUAAAGGUCUGCCUCUUCGAAAAUCGGCUAACCAAUACCUAGUAUUGCGGUAUGGAGCCAUAAACCCACGAGUGUUUGUAUAUGCGGCAUCACAAAGGUAAUAUUUAUCUGCAAACGAAUGUGACAUAUUAUAUAAUGACACAUAUUAUAUAAAGAAGAUAGAUAAUAAAAAUUAUAUAAAGAUUACAAACCUGGUGGAGGAAAUGGAAAUCCAGAAGUCGAAUUGAAUGCAACUUCUUUCAAAACUCUUGAAUCAUGUGCUAUACCCUCCCAUCCAGCCCAAACAAAGGUGAAUAUCAUAUCAAAAUCACAAAUUCCUAUUACAUUUUGAAAACAUUCUCCUUUUCCUCUUCCUCAAUAACGAGUUUGUUGAUCAACAGGUACAACCGCACGUACAAGAGUUCCAUCUAAUGCACCAAUUGCUCCGGAAAAAAUAUUUUUUAACCGUCUAUGUCGUUCUGAGUUAUGUCUUGUUGGGUUAGGAGUUGUUGGUACUAUAAUUUCUUUUGCAAAACACAUCAUUGCUGUUAGGACCUCGUGAAAACAUUGAUGAAUCGUUUGUGUGGAGUGAUGAAAUCUUCCCUUAACCGCGCGAAAACGUUCAUUAUGUCCUAUAACAUGUAAGAAGAUAGCCAUCUUCUCUUCAAUGCUUAUUGUCCUACUAGCUUGCAACCAAUUUUUUUGGGUAAAAUGGUUGCAUAGUAAUGCAAAUGCCUCUUGUGUAAGACGCAUCAUAUCGAAACAUUGUGUAGGGUCUCCGUAUAUCAAAUCUUAUGUAUACGCAUACCCGCUUGAAUCGUUAUCUCUAAUUCUAAGAAUUCUGAUUAGUCUGCGCCGGUUUGACCUCAACCAAUAAAACACAAGUAAAAGAAAAGCUACAACUUCACCAUCAGAAACCAUACUUGAUCUAUUACAAACAAUUAGGUAAUAUGUUAAAGUAAAAAAAAAAUCAUGCACCAAAAAAAUUAGUAAACAUCAUUAAAAGUAACAAAAGUCGUAUAACAAACGUUGUAUAACAAAAUACUAGUAAACAUCAUCCAAAAAAGUCAUCAAACUAUAUAACAGUAAACCAAAAAGUCAUCAAACAUAGGAUCCAAAAAACUAGUAAACAUCAUCCAAAAAAAGUCAUCAAACAUAGGAUCCAAAAAACUAGUAAACAUCAUAAAAAAAACUAGUAUCCAAACUUUUCUACCCGCACCUAUCAAAGGUAACUAUACUUCCUACCCGCACCCAUCACCCACGACUCACAACUACUAUGCGAAAGUCGUAACCAAACUUUUCGAACAUCAGCACUUUCACCAAAUAGCAAAAGAGCGGUCUUGUGUCUUUCAUCUUCUUCUCCCCAUUCCAUUUUGUUCAAUUUCUCCAUACACGCAUCAACAUCCUUAUCCAUUUCACUUUUUUCAAUUCUUUCAUUUUUUUUCCACUAAUAACCUUACAAUCUUGACAAUCUCCUCUUCAACUUCUAAUGCCCUUGCAUCUCUUUUUUUUCCACCAACUCUUUUGUUUCCACCAACUUCCUUAUUUUUGAACGCCCCGAAGAUUCUUCACUUGCACCUACGUGUUGUGUUGAGGUUUCCAUUAGAACAUCAUCAUCAAAAUCAUGGGGACUAAACUCUUCUACAGGACAAGGGAGUGUAGAAGAUGGCCCCCAACUUUGAGAUCCGGUUGAUGUCAACCCUUCAAAUAGUUGGGUGCAAAGAUCAGGGAACAAUAGGGGUUUAGUUUUCAAUGACAACACGAACUUGUUCAACUGUUUACAAUUUUUAUAAAUAUUAGUAUAUGUUAUAAAAAUAAUCAUAAUAGUAUUGAUUAAAAAAAUAAAUUUAAUCAAAUAGUAUAUGUUAUAAAAAUAAUCAUAAUAGUAUUGAUUAAAAAAAUAUUACCUUCCCCUCUUCUUUCCAUUGUUCAUCGGUCAAAUUAAAUUUAUUUUUUAUAGGAUCAUAUAUAUUGCCGGUUUUGUUUUUGAGUUUCACCCAAGCAACAUACUUUGAUUUGUAGUAGUCAAAGUGGUUUCUCAUUUGCUUCUGAUCAACCUCUUUACCGUGUUCGUUUAUCAAUUUUUCGCGUAUUGUCUUCCAUGAACUUGCCUUAAGCCCAGAACCCUCACGACCAUUAGUGGUUAGUUCAUGGAUACAUGCAUCAAGAAAAGUUUUGUCCUCACUCUCGUUCCAAACCAACAUCCUAAAACAUUAAUAUUUAAAGUAAUUUAUCAUAGUUUUUAUCAAGUUAAAGAACAAUUUUAAACAUAAAGCAAUUUUCAACCAAGGAAGUUAACAUCAUCCUAAAUUAUGAUUUGAUAACUUAUACACAAACAAUUUCAGAUGUCACAAAACAUCAAUAUUCAAGCUAACAAUUUCACAAAAGAUAACAAGCUAACAAUUAAGGUCAACAAUAUCAAAGCUAUAAAAUUAGAAAGAAAAAAAAAACAGCCCAAUUUUUGAUUUUAUAGCUUAUACUUUUGAUACUAAUACAAGCUCAAUAAUUGGAAGACAUGUGAUGUUGCAUGCAUUCCCCCUCUCGCCCACUCUUCAAGGAACAAUUGGAUUAUUAAAAAAGUUAGGUUACCAUUAAUCUUAUAAUAAUUAUUUAUUAUUAAUUUUACUUUUGUACUUUACACAUAAAAACACAACNAAAACCAAAAAAAUAAAAAAAAAAAAAAAAAAAAAAAAACAGCCCAAUUUUUGAUUUACAAACCUACUUGUAUUUUCCAAUUCACAUUCAAUUUCAAUUCACAAGCUAUAAAAUCAAAAUUCAAAAAAAAAACCUUCCAAUUCACUUUCAAUUUCAAUUCAUAAGCUAUAAAAUAUGAACCGGAGAAAAAAACUUCCAAUGUGAAUUGGAGAAAAAAACUUCAAAUUCAGAAAAAAAAACAAAAAAACAAAAACAAAAAACAACUACCAAUUCACAUUCUAUUUUAGAAUUCAUAACAUUAGAAAAAAAAACCUUCAAUUUUCAGUUCUUAUACACAAAGAACUACAAAACAAAACAUAAACAAACUUCCAAUUCACAUAUAAUUUCGAAAUUCAUAUAUUAGAACAAACAAUUUCAGAUUUCAGUUCUUGUACACAAAGAACUACAAAAAAGAACAAAAAAAGCUUAUCAUAUGAACAUACAGGUUGAGAAUUCAUAAUAUUCUAACAUAUACUAAUUUGAUUUCAUAAAGAACUACAAAUUUCAUACCAUCAAAGCAUAAAUGGUAUCUGAUUUUGAAAAUUAUUAACAGAAAAAUUAUCUAACCUGUGUGAUGGAUCGAGAAGGCGUCACUGAUGGCGGUGGCGGAGGUCCGACGAGAUGGCACAGGUCCGACUGGUCGGACUGUUUGGCGUUCAAUGUUGUGGAGUUCUUCCUAGCGGCUGCUGUGCUUUUAGGUCACUAGAAGGGAAGCGAAUGGGGAAAGAAAUAAUAACGACGCAGGGGCAAGAUAAGGGCAAGAUUGUCUAAUUUCCAGUCAGCAACUGUUUAAAAACUGAUCCAGAAAGCGAUUUGGGUCAGCAGAUCUUACCGAGAAAGCUCAAAUCAAACACCAAAGGUCUGACCGAGUCAGCCCAAUUUGCUGACUCGACCCAGUCAGACAUUUAUCAAACACUCCCUUAGAAGUGCACUCUUUAAUAGACCUUGACUGCACACAUCUAUGCUCAUGAACCAAAGUUUUCACCAUCCAAUCGCUUUCUUCAUCAGAUCUAGAAAUUAAUACCACCCAAGGGCAUGUUGCUUUUUGUGAGCUGACUGUUUUAUCCUUGCAUUUGAUUCUACUUUUUGUCCAUGGCCCACCUGUCAUUUUCGGGACCACACCCCUGCAUUUUGCCCUAAUUCUUUUUUUUUUAUCAUUUUUUGAAAAGUAAAUGUUUCUCCUAGUUCGAAUUGAAUGCAUUUUAAUGUAGUCCUUCACUUCUGAUGAGGACUUAAAUAUUUGACCCAGAUGGAAUGCAGUUUCAUGUACUACUCCUGAUGAACAUGUGGUUGGUUUGUUUAACCUUCUCAUUAAUUUCUUCCUCUCAUCUUCUUCUACACCAGUUGAUUCAAAUAAUUGUGUAUCUAUCACCUCCAAAUCCUCAUCAACUGUGACAUCAGGUGCAUUGAAUGAUUGGUGGUUAUCUAGAUUUGGAAAAGAAUAAACACCACUGUGGAAGUCUUUCAUAUUCACUUCGACAUCCUCCACCAUAUUAAGUUCAUCCACUAAAAAGUCACUAUCGUCGCUUAUACUUCCAUCGGUACUAGUCUCAUCACUAAUAACAUCUCCAAUUUCUUCAUUUUCCCCCAUCUGUUGGUAAUCAUUAUGAUCCAUAUAAAAGAAAGGAUCAAAGUCUUCUGAAGGGACAACAUCUUGGGCUUUGUUAAGCUCCUCACUUGCAGGAUGAACUCGAACAUCUUUCACUACAUCUCUAUCAAAAUGUCCAAAAGGUACAACAGACCUAGAAAAGUCAUAGUUCUCAUUCAAGUCCAUUUUUCUACUACAUGAUCCUACCUUUGUACUUGUAAACUUUUUUCGAUUGAGUUCCGGAGAAAUAGGCUCAUUGAUUUCUUCCGAUACGACCUUAUUUGGAGAUAUAAAGUAUGCAUGGAGUCUAGUAGUUCCAUGUUCAGUAUACACCAUAAUCUCUUUAUGAUUAGCAACAUGCUUACUUAACAAAAGUACGUCUGAGUUGUUACCUAAAGGAAGUAACCCAUAAUCGAUUUCAAUCUCAGGAAUCAAGAAGUGGUAGUAGAUAGGCUCACCGUUGAUAUAACCUAUCUCCUUCAUCAUAUCGUCUAACUCAUGUACGGAAAACACGUCCAUGUCUACGUAGUCAACAUAGUCAAUACUCCCACCAACGUAACGUCUUCCUGGGUAUUUUGUGAACAUACCCCCAUGGUGAAUCUUGAAUGUGCAAAAACUACUUAACUCAACUGAAAAACAAAUAAAUAAUGAUAUGAGGAAAGAAUGAAGUCUCAAAAUUGAAUGUGCAUAAAUUACUUAACAAAAUUGAAAGUUGUUAACUGAUCACUCACCAUAAGCUUUGAUCAGGUCAGGAUUUUCUGAGAAUUUUGAACGGACAUUCCACAAAGUUAGAACGAUCGCAAAAGAUGAAAAUGAAAACCCUAGUUUCCGUUUGAUGUUUUGAAGUGAUGAAGAUGAAAAACCAGAGGAGAAAAGAAAGGGAUGAUUUCUUGGGGUAAUGUAAAUGGCAGCUAGAUGUAAGGAUCAUUUAUGAAUAUGAUCAUUUCGUGUAACAAAGCAAAAGACCAAAAUACCCUCGUGUGAGGGUCACGUGAUUUAGAUAAACGGAAACAAUUAAACGGAGUAUGUCAUAAGGACUAUUCGUGCAACAAUUUGGAACCAUAGGGACCAUACUCGUCCAAAAUUCCUCAUAAGGACUAUCUUUGGUCUCUUGUGCCAACCACAGGGACCAUCUGUGUAAUUUUGUCUUUUUUUAAAGAUAGUUCAUAAUUUUUCUAUUAUAUACAUUGUAAAUGAAAUUGAGAACUUAAGUAGGUCCUAGGACCUACCUAAGCACAUGGUGGAUACGCCCCUGUUACCCACACUAACCUCAUACACUUACAACACAAAUGAACUUGAACGGUCUAAGACCAAACCAAGAUAUAAUAUGAAAUGUGUAAGUAUAGUUUAAUAGAUGAAAGUGAGGUGUUGUUUGGGCUUGAAAAGUAGGGGUGAGCAUGGUGCGAUUUUUUGAGAAAACCGAACCGCAAACCGCAAGAUGCGGUUUCUAUAGGGUAAAACCGAUAGGUGUGGUUUUUGUUUCGGCGUGGUUUUACAUGCAUUUUCGGUGUCAUUCGAUGCGGUUUCGGUUUUUAACUGAAAAUAUGUGUUGGUGUGAUUUUUCAUACAUGUGUUGAUCUACCAAAGAAGUAAUAACCCCUAAAGAAGCUAGAGCAAGGCCUAAUUGAAAAUGAAGCCAAUUAUUAAUUGUGUCAUAAAGACCCUCAUGCCCACGUCUCAAUCGCCCUCUUGGAGGGAUAUGUGCAUCUAAAAGAUCUUUCAUACUGUGCCCAAUCCCAAAAUUAGUUCUAUACAUAUGCCCAACAAUAAGAAAAAGAAAUGCAAUAGCUAAAUAAUGAUGAGUCAUAUCAGCAUGUCCAAACCCGACUUUUCAGUUAACUUUCCUUUAUUUCCGGUACAGAUUCUCAUUUAAAUGUAUUUAACAUGCUUGUGAAAUAGUUAUAUGUUAUUCUUAUCAAAAUAUAGACUUCUUUAUGAUAUUACGAUUUUGAGAUUUGAAUUAUAUGUUUGAUGCAACAAGGGAUUUGGUUUUAUAAUCUCAAAUUCCAUUACUUAAUCAUUAUUGUUUAUACAGAUAGAGGCGGCUUUUGAUUCGAAUUGCAUUUUGCUUGUGAUAAGCAAAAGGAAAAUUGUUAAUGGUACGCACUUUGAUACAAAUGUCAAAUUUUAUAAAAAUAUAGCAAAACAUAAGGCAUGCACAGUGGCAAAAAGAACUGAAGAGGUCGAAGUUGAACAAAAUAUACUUUUAUUAAUAAGUAUUAUAAUAUAUUAAAUAUUGUCAGGUUUUUAUGGUGCUGUUUGGCAUUGUCCAAACCGCACCACACCGAAAAAUUACCAAUUAAGGUUGGAUUGGAAUGCAUAAUUAUCAAUUUAUCCUUAAUAAGUCAUAAAUCAACAAAAAUGGCCCAACAAUUUUCUUAAUCUUAAUUGUUGCCUUUGGAUUAGAAAUCAUCAACGAUCAAGAUUGGUUCUCACAAUUCUCUAAUCUCUACUUUUAUGUUGUUUUCAUUUGAACUCAACCCAAAAAUCUCACCAGUAAUCACCACACGAACAAAUCCCGUUCUUGAAAUGAUGAAACCUAUUUGUAUCCCGAAGAAUAAUUUCCCGCUCAACAAUCUUGGAAAUAAGCUUAGCAGCAAUAUGACAAUCCUCACAAACACGUAGAUUUUUAGUAAUCCGUAUAGGCGUAAAAGCUUUAGUAUUUAUAAUCACAAACACAAUAGCAAGCUUCUCACUAUGAACAGCAAGAUGAUUUCCUUUAUCUUCAUCUUCUAUAUCAUGAAGUGCAGAAUCCACUUCAGGAACAUACCCAAAAUCCCUCAUCUUCCCCACAAGUACUUCCAACUCUUGAUAAAUCUGUUUAGAUUGUGGAUGGGAUUGAUCUCCAGCAAGAAACGAAUGAACUUGAUUAUUAAGCUCAACAUUACUAACACCGGGCUCUUUUUUCACUCCUUUUGAUUUCAUUAUUGAACGAAUAUUUGUCACAUCUUUAAAUCUACCUGCUUUUGCGUAUAUAUUUGAUAAUAAAACAUAAUACCCUGCUUGUUCAGGGACCAAUUCAAAGAGAUGAUCUGCUGCUACAAGACCAAUUUCCAUGUUGGAAUGAACUUUACAAGCACUUAACAAAGCACCCCAGAUUCUAUCGUUUGGUUUUGUUUUCAUUUUCUUUAUAAAAUCAUAAGCUUCAUUGAUUCUUCCUGAUCUUCCUAGCAAAUCAACCAUGCACGCCAAGUGUUCGAGUCUUGGAAUGAUGUUAUACUCUUCGGUCAUCAAUUUGAAGAAAUGUUUUCCUUGGUUUAGUAAUCCGGCAUGGCUGCAGGCUGAUAGAACUGGAACGAAGGAAAUGGAAUCAGGGGCGAUUCCGGAAUUUUGCAUAUUUGAAAAGACUGUGAUAGCAGUUUCACCAUCUCCAGUCAUGCCAUAAGCAGAGACCAUGGAAGUCCAGGAGACGACAUCUCUUGUUGGCAUUUCAUCGAACACCUUGCGUGCUUCGUUUAAAGACCCACAUUUAGCAUACAUGUCAAUCAAGGCGUUCUCUACUGUUAGAUUAGGAAGAAGCCUUUUUGUUUUUACAUAUGAAUGAAUCUUUCUUCCUAGUAAUAAAGCUGAAAGAUCUCCACAAGCGGGUAGGAUGCUAGCAACUGUGAUUGAAUCCGGGUCGAUUCCGUAAUUCUCCAUUUGUUGAUAAAGAUUAACUGCAUCUUUAGGCAUCGAGUUGUUGACGUACACAGCUAUCAUGACAUUCCAAGAAAUUAAACUCUCUCGAGCGUGAUUCAUGAACAUUUCUUUCAUAAACAUCACGUUGGUAGAUGAAGUAGAAGUUGUUAAAGCAGGGGAAAGGCUGGCCAUGGUGCCUGCGUUGGGUUUUGAGGUAGAACAUUGCAUCAUUGUCUUACAAAUCUCCAAUGCAUCUUCAAACAUCCGGUUUUGGGCGUAGGCAGCAACCAUAGCAUUCCAGGAGACGAUAUCUCUACUAGGCAUUUCAUCAAACACCUGGCGUCCUUCCAGUAACCGGUUACAUUUUCCAUACAUUGUAAUCAAUCCAUUCCCUACAUAAAGAUUUGAAUGCAGACCCUUCUUGAGAACAGCAACAUGGGUUUGUAAUCCGACCCACAAAUUCUCAGACACGGAACAUGCUUUUAGAACUUGAGGAACUGUAAAAUGAUCAGGGUUAAUGUUGAACUUGAACAUGUUUCUGUACAUACGAAGUGCUUUUUCGUAGAAUUCAUUGUUUACGUAGCUUCUAAUCAUCACAUUGAAGAAGACUACAUCUUUUUGAGGAAAUUCAUCAAACAGUUGGCGGGUAACUGCGAUUUGGCGACAUUCAGAAUAAGCUUUCAUUAAUUUCAGAGCAAUAUGCGAUGCUGAGACGAGGUUUCCAUCAAUAAUUAACCUACAAUGUAUCUUUUUCAAUUGUUUGAUAUCUGGGCACUUGUCCAAGAUUUUGAUACACAAGUCUUCUGUGAUUAACAUGAUUGUUAAGGCGAGAUUUGAAUGAAUUUGAACUUAUAUUCCUUUCGCCAUGUUGUACCUGAGGGGCAAUCAAAUAGAAUGGACGAAGAUAACGAAGGUUUACUUGGUGGUGUUCACUUAAAAACAAGAAAUAUGAAGUUCUAAACGCUAUUUCUUGUUAAACAGAAAAUAUUUUGUCCAAUCUAAAAAUCCAAUUUUUGAGUAAGUUCAAGCUUAAGCUCAAAAAUAGUAAGCAAAACAUGUUUAAAAAAUAAAAGUUCGUUUGAAACUCUUUGGAUAGCUCGAGUAUAACAAUCAUCAUAAUUAUAGUCAAUAAAUCAGGCUCAAACAACCAAACUUGAUGUCCAGCCCUUGAUCAUCCAAUUGCCAACUGAAAUCAACUUAGUUUCCGGUUUUAGAAUCGCCCUAACAUUACAUAAGCACCAACUAGUUCCAAAAGUAGUUUUUAAUUCAAUGUCUCCCAUACCCGUGACUUCAAGGGUUUCCAUGUUACCCAACCUUACCAACUUAAGAUAAGUUCUUUACUUCAAUUACUAUAACAGAUCGAUGAGUCAUGUUCUAAUGACCUCUCGUCAUAUGAUGCAAUGCUUAGACUCGAGUCUUUUAAAGUCAAAUUCUAUAAUGAAAUAUACAUUCCUUCAAGUUUCUAAUGUGAUAUAAUCACAUUCUAGCAUGUAUCACUUCUAGCUACAAGCUUCUUACUUUAACAACAAUCACAAUACUUCUAUUGAUCGCUUUGAUUAUCUUUCAGUUCAAUCUUCUGGCUUAAGUCAGAUGCUACAUCGAUCUUGGUUCUCUGAACCACGUACAAUACUUAUCCUAGCUGUAAUCGAUUUGAUAUGACCACUAGGGUCGGAAUAACAAUCAUCUUCUUAGUCAUUACCGAAAUUAUGGUAAUGACACAUGAACAAAACAGAAUCAAUUACUAGCGUCUUGGUAACUCGUGACUUUCCCUGAUCCAAGUGCGAGUCGUGUGCUUCCAGUAGUAUAUGCCUCUACUACCUUUCACACCUACUCAUACUUGUCCCAAGUAUUGUCUUUCAGUUCUCCAAGUCACCAUAAAAGAAUUUCACAUAGUCAUUUAACACAUCGAAUAACAAAACUAAGGUUUAUAUUAUUUCUUGAAACGAUUACAUAGAUAUUCAAGUUCACCUUAUACCAUGCCUUUUAUAUUAGGCUACACCACAUGAUACUAUCUAUAUGGCUACUUUAUAUCUCGAUCUUCAGAUAUAUAUAGAUCCCUACUCCUAAUCCCUUGUAUCGUCACCUGCUUCAUCCAGGUUAGACUUCGAGAAUCUUCCUUUCUUAUCGAAUCUUGAGGAUCCCUCAAGCUUCUUCUUUUCUCAUGCCUUGUCUUAUUCCAGACCCUUUUUCCUAAAUUAGGUUUCCAUAUUCUUGGUUGCUCUAACGGUUGUCUUCAAAGUAGUUGCCAUUUUUACCAUUGCGCCAAAUUAUGCUGGCAAUCCGUUAGCAAAACUAUCUAUCUUGGAGAGUUCAGUAGCACCAAGUAGGGGAAUAACUUCAUCUGCUCGGUGAAUACGGUGACAUACUCAUCAACACUCAUCUUCCUUUUCUUCAAGUUCGAAACUCGUUGUUUAGGUCUAUCAGAUCUAUCUCUGAGCAGUAUUGCAUUUUCAACUGCUCCAUGAAUGCUUCCCACCUCAGGGCUUCUCCCCCAUGGCUUUGUAUCUGCCAAUAACUUCCACCAACUUAAAACUCUGGUCUUUAGUUGUCUGACUGUAAAGACGGUUUUCUGCUUGUUGCUGCAAUUGCAACUUUCAAAUGUCAUCUCUAUCUCGGAGAUCCAAUCCAUGAUCUCUACUGGCUUCGGGCUUCCAGAAAGACUUGGUGGUUUGGCACCUAAGAAGUUCUUAUACAUACGUUCAUCCUUAUCAAUCGCUUUUUUCGGGUCGUUCCUCCUUGCCACUCGGGGUUCAGCUUGACUCACUGUACGACUGUAAUUUCCCUCCUCCGACAAUUCUUCAUUCAGUUCGGGUUGCACGAUAGGCACAAUAGGUUCAUCCCUAUUAUCAAGAAACAUUUUUCUCAUCUCCUCCCUUUGUUCGGCCAUCAUAGCCCAAAUCAUUGCUUAGACUCUUGCCAUCGUGAUUGGCUCGGGUGCAGCUACUACCUCUGGUGCACAUUUAAUCACUCGUGGUUCAGGCUGUUAGUUUUCAUUAGCAUUUUCUAAUAUGUUGCGAGUUCUCACCAUUUCGAUCUAUACACUCUAGAGAUGUUCAGUGUACAGUGACGAGAAUUAAGAUAUGGAAAGCUUUAUUUACGACAGCCAUAUAAAUCUUCUUAUCACUCGUAAAAGUUAUAUACUAGUUCUAAUACCGUAAUUAAAUGUUUGGAAAUUUUGAGCAAAUGACGGUUCAUCAACAAUAGAGCGAAUCUCAUUUAGGAAUUCGUUGAUAGGUCGAUUUCCUUUAGGAUUUUUAGCAAGUUUGGAUUUUAAAGAGAUGAUUCUUGAGCAGGAGGUGCUGGCAUAGCUUGUGUUGAGAUGCUUUCAUGCUUCUUUUGUGGUAAAUACAGAGGUAAUGAUAGGUUGAAUGAAUUGCAUCUGAGCAUGAACCAAGAAUUGCAUCGAAUACUACAUGAUCUUGGCGAUAGCAAGUCGUGUAUUCAUGAUUAGGUUUGGAUUUGUCUUUGUCGAUAAUGAAUUUUGUGGUAGGAUCAGUCACCCAUGUGAUGUAAUCUUCCAGACCUAGUCCAAUAAAUGUGGACUGCACUUGUCGCCUCCAUACAUGGAAGUUGUUGGUGAGUAAUUUGGUAGGAAAGUGACUUGAGGCGGUGAUUUGUAUUUGGGAUGAUUGUGUCAUGGUGAUGUUGAUGAAAAGGAUUAGAGGAGAAAGGCAAGAUGAUCGAUUGACUCUUUAGAGUGUGUGUGCUCUGAUACGAUAUGAGAUUUGAGAAUCAAUGGGCUCGAAUGAAUAAUUUCAUUUACAAAGAUCGAUACAUAUAUAGAUGGUAACGAGAGUUAAAGAGCUAUACAUGGAAUUUACUAAGAAUAGAUUGCAAUUACAUACAAAUAGAAGAGAUUAUUGUAGAUUAGUCAUGAAGAUGUGUACGAUGUUAUAGUUAGAUUGCUUAUUUGCAAUCCAUGUUAGCUAAGUAUGUCAUGUUGAAUACAAAUUGUAUUAAAACAUUAAAGUUCCAACCAUUAUAUGUUGAAGAAGAAGCAAAUACGCCUUAGUCACACCCAUUCUAAAUGAUAUGGAUGUUAUGGUUGUCGUUUCUAUGCAACCAAAUCGUGAUUCCAAGUUGCAGUUGUCUUACCAAUAUAUCAUGUUAGGAAAAGAUGACAUAGCAUGAAAUAUUGUAUGUUACAACAAAAAGAUAUAUCUUAUAGAUGUCUUGCACAUGGGUUAUUCCUUUUUAAGCACUUAUAUAAAAAUAAUAUCACGUAUGUAUGAUAUCUAUUUUGAGAGAUUUUUAGCAAGCAACUCUUUGUCUAUUAUUGUUAUUGGAUAGAAAAAGUAUCAUCUUCGUUGGGAAGAUUUUACUAGGAUUAGAUUCAUAAUAGUUUGUCAAAGAUUUUACUAUUAUGUAUUUAUAAACCCAUGAAGUUUUCUAUUAAAUAAAUAAAUAAAUAACCAUUCACCAUUUAUAUCUUUUUGGAAUAGAGUUUGUUAAAUUCUAAUAUAAAUAAAAAGAGUAUUUAUUUAGAUUCACACAUUACAAAAUUACAAACUCCAAGCAUAAAUCCGAAACUUAUUUUUAAACUUCUUCAUUUAUAUUACAAGUUUUAUUCUUUUUUCCCAACCCACUUGGGGUUUCGAAACCCUAAAAAAGUUCUAUCCAUGGAAGUUCAUAUUUAUUUCUUAUCUUAAUGAAUUUAAGGUCUAAAUCAAUAAAUGGCAAUGUAGAAUUAACCGCAUAUAUUAAGUUAUUUUUGGAAGCUUUCCAACACAACACAGAAAGGAAAUGAUGAGAAUUUAUGGUACCAAAUAACAAAAUAAUCCCGGUUCCUAUAAAAAUUUAUUAAAGCUCUACUCAUGAUUUCAUAAUCUCCUCUAAUAUGAGGGUUACGUUAUUGUAAUAAUAACUAUGAUAAUGUAAAAGCCAUAACAUAAAUCGUCUUAAUUUAAGAAAUAAUAUAAAUCCCAAGAUAUUGUUUUUAAAAUAAAAAGGAAAAAAGUGGGAGUCCAUUAGAAGGAGCCAAGCUGAUUAUUUGAGCCAAGAGAGCACCGAUUUGUUAUCCUUCCACUGUUCGAAGCGAGAGGUUAUCGCAGCUCUGUGAAGCCAGCCUAACGCAUUGCCCUCUGCUCUAGGAACCAAGAAGCCCAAGCCUUCGCUCAAGCCACUUGAUCCAACUCCGAACUUGGAACGGGCAAACCAGAUUUUGCAACAGCUUUGACCCAACCAAACAAGGCUCGAUCUCAGUCCAUCCCACUUUAGAGCCCUCACUUGAGUCACAAGCUCGCGUUACCAAGCUCGGCGAUAAACGAAGUCCAUUUGAUGUAUAAAUAAUCGGAAAAACUUUCUCCUCCAAGCGAUGUGGGAUGCGAAACGAAAUAUUUUCAUCUUCAUUCUCUCUUUAUCUCUGUCAAAUACUGUGAUUACUGAUUACUGACUACUUAAACACCCAUGCAACGGAUUUCAAGUAUUUUUUUCAAUCCAUGGAUUUAGAACUGUAAACUGAAAAAAGAGAUUGUGGAAUAGUUUUGGAAACUGGAAUUUGUUUACAAGUUUUUCGUGAGGUGUAAGUGAUAAGAUAUGAUAUUUGAGUAAUUGGAAUCAUUCUCUCGAAGAUUCAAGUAUCAAGUAUGAAACUUAGACAAUAUAUAUACCUGUUUUCUUCUCUUUUUUCUGUCUACGAACCGAAUCCAACAUGAUUUCUCUACAAAAUCCGUGUCUUAAUCCUAAUUAACACUCACUAACCGGUUACCCCUCCAGAUGUUGCAGAAAUUUUCUUGAAUUAUCUCUUUUGUUUUUCACAAUUCAAUGUCGGUUGCUCCCUUUCUCUCUGAUUCAAGUAUUCAACCACCGCCAAAGACUUGAGAAAGUGGAGGAGUUUAUCAAUUAAAUGAGUUUAUAUGCUUUCCAACUUUUCGUAAAUUGCAAGUUACUCCCCGUACCUUUCGAAAAUCUUCCUUUAACAAUUGUGGAAAGUUGUUGAAAUUUGAAAAUAAAAUAAAAAUUAUAGUCAAGGGGAUCGUUUUAAAGGUUUCCAGGAGAUACUUUUGUUGAUAUAUUUUUGAAUAAAAAGUUAAUUAUAUAAUAGAUUUUUACCAAAUAAUGUGGAUAGCUAAAAAUGUGAUUAUGGUUUAAAAAAGAAAUCUAAUAAAUAAAGAUUAAAUAAAGAAGUUAUGUUUUAAUAUAACUAAAUUAAUGAUGGUAUUGUGUUUGAUGAAAGGACUAAAACUGAACAAAGAAAAAAUAUUUGUGUUUCACUCACAGAUACUAGCAAUUGAUGGGUCUUAAAUGAAAAGGAGUUGGAUAAGGAAUAAAAACCUUGUAGACGUUCACACUUUUCUCUUUUGAUCAAAAUCUUAUUUAUAAAUUUCAAAAUUUGAUUCAAACCUGUUGUAUAAUUUUAAAUAAUUAAACUCAUAAUUAAAAUUAUACUCUUAUCCAUAAGUUAAUAGAUAUCUUGACUCAUUUAUAGUAUUAUAGAUUACAAGAUUGUUGUGCACGUCACAAAGUAUCAUCCAUAAUAUAUAACAUGAUAUUUUACUUAAUACUAAAUAUACGACAAUUCAAAAAUCAUAUUUUACUAAAUACUUACGAUAACAUUUUUUUUUAAAUGGAUGUCUAUUAUAACAAAUAUGCAUGAGACAACGUAGUCGUCAAGAUAAAUCAUAAACAAAAUAAAUGUCUACUGUAGAAAACAUAUGUUUAACAUAUAUCAAUUGCACUUAGAAAAUAUUUACACUCUCAUAGUAUGCGUUCGAUAGGGAGAAAGCAUCAUAAUCAAUUGGUGAUUUUUUUGGUUGACGUGGUUAUGUGUUUGAUUAGAGAAGAAAGCAAAUAGUAUGAUGUCGAUUGAGGAUUUCUUGAGUUACAAAUAGGGUUAAUGUCAUAAAAAUUCUCAAGCUUUCAGGGUUUUGUCGGUUUUGCCCAAAGUUUAAUUUUAUGUCCGUUUUUACCCUAACAUUUUCCAAAAAAUGUUCGUUUUUACCCUUUUACCGGUGAUAACAGGUUACCAUUAUAUUAGUUUCGCAAAAAAACCCUUAAGUUUAUAGUUUUUUACGUUUUUACCUGUAAGUUUAUAUUUCUUUUACACUUUUACCCUUUGUAUUUUUUUUUUUCAUAUUAUAUGUAUUCAUAAAGAAAAAAUAUAUUUAUAUACGAAAUUUUUUUAAUUAAAUAUUGUAUUUACAUUUUUAUAAUGUUAUUUCUUCAUAUAUAUAUAUAUAUNNUAUAUAUAUAUCAAUAAAAAACAUAAUGAAUCAUAAACAUGUUUAUAUAAGUAUAUACAUAUAUUUUUAGAAGUGUAAAUAUGUAUUUUGAUAUAUGUUUUUUUUUAAGUAUAAAUAUAUUUUUAGAAGUAUAUAUACAUAUUUAUAUAUAAAAAUGUAAAAAUAUGUAUUUAUACUUUUAAAAACUAUAUCUAUAAAACACGUAUUCAUAAUCUUGUAAAAAAAUGUGUGUUAGGAUCUUUUGAUCGCAUUCCGAUCUUAUGAUCACAAUCUUGUAAAAUACAAAAAUAAUCGUAUGUAAGAUUUCAAUUUUGACAAUCUUUAUUUGAAGGAAUAUUAAAAUCAUAAAAUUAUGUUAAUGUGUAACUUGGAACUUGGUGACCCGACCCAAAACAAAGUCAAGAAACCCGACAUCAAAUAUCGAUGGGAUAAAUGUUUGGAAUAAGCUUAGGGUCGAUAGGCCCUAAGUCGUUGGUAAUAGAAGAAUUUUUCAGUUUCCGGCUCCCUACCUAUGAAGUAUGUCAUAUCGACCAAAUCAUAUUAAAUCUAUGUGUCAUUUUAUUGUUGCUUUUUUGCAUAACAAAUUGAAUACUUAAUCUCACAAAAUCAAAAACCUAACUUGAAUAUGAUCAUUGUCGUUGAUACAAUAAAAAUAUAAACCAACAAAACCUUGGAAUUCGGAUUGAAUCCACAUGGAGUUCGUAGUUAAAUUAUGUGUUUGAAAGAUUCAAUUAGCUAACCAAAGAUGCAAGAAAACUAAUCACUUUUGGAACAAUCAAAUUUGAAAUCCAAAGGACAAAAAUGUGCCAAUCAUAAAUUAGGAAUUUAGAAAACCAAAAGUGUAUUGCAAUCAAUUUCUAAAUUGAAUGACCAAAAAUAAUGACCAAAUCUCGCAUUAACUAAACAUUUGAAUGUAGUUAUUUAAUUUUUAUUGUAGCAUAGAUACAUAGACAUGAUCAAUAAAUCUUCUUAUUCUAAUAAAUGAAUAAGUUUAUUCUCAUGUUGACAAGUCUUCUCUAAUAAAUGAAGGUUUUUUGUCAUUUGUUACAUUCUCAUUCAAAUUGUUAAAUGUCAUUUUGUGGUUAUUUUGAAUUAAUUUUUUUCCCACAUAUCAUUUUAUGAGUUUUUCUAUUUUAUUAAAUUCCACAUAAUAUUUUAACAUAAUAGUUGUAAUAAAUGUAGUAAUAAACGGAUAUUAAUUUCACUAAUAAACUUACCUUUUAAUUUCAAAAUUCCCAAAAUUAAAGUUCAUUCGUUUCUUUUCUUUAUUUAAAUUAUGUGUUUAAAUUUAAAAGAUAAAAUACAUUUCCAUUAUAAUAAAUCAUUAUUUUUCUUAUUUUCUUAUAAAUUCAAAGUUCUCAAAUAUUUUGACAUUUAUAUUUAACAUUUUUUUUAAAUAAAUUCAUAUAAUACAUGGGUCUCGCAACUAGUGGCAUACUGUUAGAAAUCUUCAUUAAUAUUAUAUGUCAUCUAUCAUGCCACAUGUCAACCUAUUAAUUCUCCAUUUUAAAUUUUAAAAUUUAAAUUUUCCACUCUAAUUACAUUAAAUUAGAUUAUUUAUUUCAAAUUUUAAAUUUCACAUUCUAAUUACACUAAAUUAAUAACAUUAGAAUAAAAAAUAAAAUAAAAUUAAUAUAUAUUAUAAGGUGAUAUAAUUUAAUGUAUUUAUUUAAAUCAACGAUUAUAAUUUAUAUAACUAAAAAAAUAUCUCUUAAUUAAUAAUUUAUUUGAAGUAAUUGAUUAAUAAUUUUAAAUUUACUAUGUUUAUAUUAAUUUUAUAAUUAUAAUUCUCGCAGAUUAUAAACUAGUUAGUAGAAUAAAAUGACAAACUUUAGGCAUAACCCUUGAUAUGGCCGUAAAAUAGUGUUAACUCCAAAUCUAGGUGGAGCUCGGCACGAUAUAUCACAAUAAUAUUAACUUCAAACAAUUUAAAAAUAAAACUUAUGCAUAAAGUACGAGAAUAAAUUGUUGGGUUACAAAUAAAAUAUUGAAAGAGAAGAGGUUAAAAAUGGCCAACUAAAUGUGUUUGACCAUAUUUAGGGAGGAAGGAGUUGUUUCCCUCCUCCUGCCGAAACCGCUAAACCUUAGUCGGAGGGUAUCGAACCCAUCCAACCCCAAAACCACCGACCCCAUCUUCUUCAACUUUCCAACUUUGAGUUGUCUCCCCAGUGGGUUUCUCAAACCGUUAAACCCCUCUCUUUCUCUCUUGCUUUCAUCCCUUUCCUCCUCUAACCCGCUAUGACUCCUUCAUCCCUUAGUCACUCAACUUAUUUUUGUCUACUAAGAUAAGAAACUUUUCAAAAUCAUCAACUUUUAUCCAUUCAACUUAUUUUGUCAAUUUUUAGGUAAUGAUUUUAACUCAUUGCUCGCCUUUGUGCUUCUAAGAUGAAGUAUCUUGCAUAUUUUGGAGAAAGCAAAUAAGAAUAAAGUAUGUUGCUAAAUCUGGUCCCAAUAAACAAAUAUUUACUCAUAACAAUCUCACACAUAAGAAUUAUGUUAUCAUUAAAAGAUGAAUACGAAUGUUUUGUACUUAGCCUUUGCCAAGUUAUAUAACUUAAUUAAUUAAUUUAUAAGUCCAGACUUUACAAAGAAAAAUCAAGUGAAGUUAAUAAACACAAACUUAAGCAUCAUCAUUGGGUUGAUGCUCUUUUGGGUGUCUCGUCAAAGCUUGAUUAGUAAUGAUUGGAUCUCAUUCAUUAUUCACAUGUCAUCUUGAAACAAAGCUUUGUAAACAGAAUUAGAACCACCACCCCGUUCAUCUUUCUUGUCUCCUCCGCCGCCUAUCAUCGGAGUCUCACAAACCACGCUAUAACCAGCCCUCCGUUGUUUCUUCCUUUUGGAUUCUUUAUUAGAUACGGGUCUAACCUUGGUUGUUUGUAAUGGCUUCGGAGCCCAAACCCUCUGCAAAUCGGGCAUUCGGCCUGUGAAUACGAACCUUUUAGCCCUCUCUCUCCUCUCACGAGCCUCAAUUAACUUUUGUUCAUCAUCCUUUUCUGUCUCUCCUAAAUCCAAGUUGUCAAGCGGAGGAUGCGAUGGUUCGUCUUCUAAAAACAAUGAAUCGUGAAUCAUCAUCUUAUUAGCAGCAGCCAUCUCGUGACUGCUAUCCUCGCUGUUCAACAUCAUACCCUGAUCUUCGUUUUCUUCACCAAAUGGUAACAGGUCCAUUUCAUCGUAGAUCUUCUUCACCACGUCUUCCAGAUUCUGUGAAUACCUGAAAAUUGAAUUUAUCAUAAGCAAAUUAUCAAACAGUUGGUGUGCAACUGAGAAAUGGCUAGAAUUUGGAUACAAAAACUGUGGAAACUAUCAAAUAAUCAAACAAAUAAACGAAGUACCUGGUUUUUAUGGUUUUCUCGACGUACGCAUAAAGACUGAUAUCACCAUGAAAGCCUCCUUCCACAAGGUAUUGGAAGAUCUCCAAUAGCGAACAAAUCUGUUUCACAAGCUUCGUCUUCAAACUCCCCUUCAUACUCCCUGCAUAUUCGGACUGAAGUAUCUCCAUCCGGAGCAAAAUUUGUAAUUCGUAUCUUUAAGUUUAUUAAGGAAAAGAUUAGACCAAAUAAAGAUAUAUUACCAAUUUACCAAGAAUAUGUAAAAGAAAUAAAAAGAAUAAAAGGAUACUCUUUGACUAGGUAUUUUGAGGUAGAACUUGGAUCAUUAUCUUUAUGUUCCUUCAAAUCUUUGGGCUCUGUUAGUAGUAACUGUAUGAUUUCAGCAACUUGAGUAGAACAAGAUUCAUCAAGAUUUUCCAUCUUUUUCUGCUUUUGAGAUAACCAAUAAAUGGACGAGUUUACAAAACUCUCUGCCAUGAUCUUCAAGUCCACACCAUCAGAUUCAAGCCCCUGUUGAAUUCUCUUAGGCAAACUACUGAAAAAAGCUUCUGGAGUUUCUGAACAAGAUUCAAAAUCAGCAUCCCCAUGGAUUCUUGACUGUUGAGAACUAAUAGCCAUUGUAAGAGGUCCAUCGCUUUCUUGAUGGCUUGCAGAAAUAUCUUCAUUUACAUCUGUUUCUUUUUGCUGAAUUGAAUCUGGAGCCAUUUUGCAUGAUCUAUCUAGUAUGUUAUUGGAAGAUAAGCUCUUGUUUUUCACUUCUGUCAUCCAGCAUUUCAGAAACUUCAACUUCUUUGACUUUUUCAAGCCAUUGGCAAAAUAAACCUCUGUUAAGUCCACAUCUAAAAACUCAUAUGCAGCCUUGCAGAAUGCACUCCAUGUAAGGUCCCGAUGUGUGUGUUUUUUAAUCUUUCUUCUCUUUCCACCAGCUAAAUGAACAUAUUUUCCAGAUGGGGAAGUACCCUUUUGAGAAUCAAAGUCACCUUGAGAAAGUUUAUUCUCUAUCAAGAGGUUUGAUCCACCAUCUUUUUGAACAAGAGCAUUGUUAUGAUCUAAGAACAAGAGAACAGCUGAAUGAACUGUGAAGGGCUUGAGAAUCCCUGUGUGAGAAUCCCCAUUGUUAUUUGAUAUAGAUAACAAAGCCCAGUAACCCUUGCUAUAAAGAAAACUAAGUAAAAUCUGCCAUGUUGGAACCGAAUGCUUCUCAAAGAACUCAGAUUUUUCACUGGCUAAUUGUCCAAGAACCUUAUCAGCCAAAAAAAUGUCUAAACCAUCUUUCUCCUUUUUGGCAGAUUUUGCAGAUUGAACUAAAAAAUGAUCUGAAGAAAAUUCUUCAAGUUUUUCACACACAGUGUACUUGUGAACAGAUGUGAUGUGCAACUUCAUAAUUCCAUUGUUUAAAUUACCCAAAAAUGUGCUCACAGAGUUGACAACUUCAUCUUUUGAGCUAGGCUUUGAUGAUGCCUUUAGAUGCAGCACAUUAAGAUCACAGCAUUUCCACUCUAUGGGCUUACCAUGGACAUCCAAAAUCUCGAGACCUAAUUGCCCACGGAUCCUUUUAUCUAAUUUAGGAGAAUCUAGCAACUUAGAUGAGAUCCCAAUAACUGGAUAUAUCAACCCGAAAGAAACAAGCGCAGAACCUAGAACAAUGGAAUCCGCAGAGCAAAAUCCCCAACCAAAUUUCCUAAUUUCAUUUCCAAUAAUAGCAGAGUGCUUCUCGGAUUUAUUGUUUUUGCCUUCUUCUUCUUCGUGGCUAUGAAUGUCAACCCAACAGAAAUGUAUGUCCUUACUAUUAAAUGCAUCAUUAACAGCACCAAAACAAUCACGAAACCUAGCACCAUAAAUAUCUAAAUUCCUCAAGCAAUCAUUAUCGACAUCCACAGACACAAAAUCAGCUAAGGAUUUCAACGAUCUACAAACUGGCGACAACAAAAUAACCAAAUUUGAUCGGACAUCGAUGGGAUCAGAAUGAAUUUUACCUGGAAGAUUCUCAAUAUCGAACUCCCAGCCAUAGUCGCGAGCGAGCUGAAGCAAAGAGCUGGCUAUAUGUGAAGCGUUUGAAGGGGAAUACGUCAAUUUGGUAGAAGAGAUGGAAUUAAGGGUGUGGGAGAGAGAAUCUAGGGUUUGCGAAGGAGAAUUGAAGGAUACAGAAGCAGAAGAAUAACUGGGAAGUAGAUUGCGGAGCGUAGAGACGGAAUCGAGAGAGGAGAGAGAAGAGAAGAAGAGCUUGAAGGAGAAAAGAGAAGAUGAAAGAGGAGGGAAAGAUAAAAGAAUAUUGGAGGUAGCAAGAAUGGAGGUGAGGUAAUUAGGGUUAGGAAAUUGGGAUAGAAAUGGAUUGAGGUCUACGAGAAGAACUAUACGCUGUGUUUUUGAGAAAUCAAUGGCGUCCGCCAUUCAAGCUUGAUAUUUUAAGACUUUCGGGGAGAGCACAGAGAUACGGGGUUCUCGCUGUAGAAGUAGAAGAGCAGAUAUGCUUAUUGCAGAUCCAGGAUGCUAACUUGCGCCGCACCAACGUGGAGAGAGAGGAUAGAGACCGGGACAAUAUGGGCGGCAAUGUAGCAAUGGCGGGAGAAUUAUAUGAGUUUAAAAGUCAUGACCGGUUUAUACAAAUAUAAUUAAAAAAACGACGUAUCAUAAUUGUUAAAGUAAAUGAAAAAAACAAUUAAAAAAAAACAUUGUUAGACGAGAAUAUACUUAUUGAAUAACAUAUAUGUUCAAGAUGAAACUUAAUCCAUUAACCUCAUGGAAGAAUGACAUUUCAUUAUACUGAUAGGUUAAAAACUUGUUGGUUUUUGACUUUCAAUUGUUUAGAUGUAUGUUUGUGAUUCGGUUUCUUAUUUAAGUGUGACAAAACUAUAACCAUCAACUUUUCGUUAAAACGAUUAUCUUACAAAAUAAACUUCACUACACAUAUCCUACACUACACUCUUUAUUCAAUAUUGUUUUAUCCUAACAGUAAGCAAGAACUUGGAACCCUAACUAAGAGUUCUAAGAAAACAAAGAGCAUCAAAUAAUCUAAAGGGCGUAUUAUGUGAUAAUGACAUAAAACCUAACUCUCUCCAUUUAUAUAUAGCGUACAGGAAUAUAAUAUACACCUCAUUAUACAAGUUUGAACACAAGUGUGUCAUUUAAGAGCAUACAAAUGUCAUAGUACAAGUUCCAAAGCCAUUAGUGCAUUUAAUUAAAGCUCCACACGUACAAACAUCCAAGCUCCCACAUAAUAAUCCUUUAAAGCUUCAUCUCUACUUUGAUAAUAAUACCAACAGUCUGUAACAUCUUAAAAUUUAAGACUUUGUUAUUAAAUAAAUAAAGUGAAUAAAAGAGAGAUGAUGUAUAUAGUUAGAGCAUUAAGGAGUAAGCAUAUCAUUGGUUGAUAUGAAGUUUGGAAGAUUAGAAGUGAAAAUUAUAACAUCUUAAAAGUUAAAGGAUUAUUGUGACAGUCGGGUGAAACUUAGGUUUGACUAGAGAUUUGACCAGCUUAAAUAACUUGGAUUAAGUUGUGAAGAUUAUGAUGUUGAGGGGUCAUUUUGGAAGUUCAUUGAAGCUUCUAAGUUAGUUUGGAGUUAUUUUGAAAGAGGUUUUGAAAGGAGGGACCGAAAGUGGCAAGUUGAUAAAGUUCAAAAUUAGUUAAUGGGUCUUCGCUCCCAUUUGCUUAAAAAACAACGCGGUUGAGAGAAAGAGAGAGGUAAAUGGCGAUUUCUAUUAAGCAAAGGAAGAUUUAGAGUGGUCGUUGAGUAAUCAAGCUAGAAAUUGAAGAUAUAAAGCAACAUCAAGCUUAAGAGGUAUAAUUUCUUAUCCUCUAACUCUAUACUUCGAAUUCAAGGUUUGGGGAAAACCUCGAUGUCGAAAUUAGUUUGAUUCUUUGAUUAGGGUUUUGGUUUCUAACCUCUCUUGAGUUGUUUUGAUGAUCUCAAUCUCAAUCUCAAUCAAAUCAUCAUAUUGAUGGGUUUGAGGAUUUUAAUGAAACCCCUCAUGAACCCUAGAAAUUCAAAUUAUGGAUUUCAUGUUUAUAUGUUAGAUUGUAAUGGAUUCAAUGACCUAUAUGCUUUUUGAUGUCAAUAAACCCAAUUGGAAUGCUCAAUCACAUCCAUGAUGGUAGAAUCAAAGUAUGAGCGUGAAUUUUAGGUGAUUUUAGGGAAAUUGUGGUGAAAACAACAUAAUUAUUUAUAUAUGAGCAUUUGAUGAGUACAUGAUACUCAUAAACAUGAAAUGAUACUAAUAAUAUGAUUUAAAUGCACGAACAUGAAGGCUUGGGUGAUCUAUAGUUGAAUUUAUGGAAUAAUUGGCCAAAAGGGCCUUUUAGGAAAUGUAUUGACAAACAUAUAAUGAUUGACAAAUAAUAAGUGAAUGGCAUUCAUGAACAUGAAUUAACACUCUAGAUAUGUUAUUGGAACAUUAUGUAAUAUCCCAAAAUUUAAGACUAAAAAAUUUCUUUUAAUAAAACAUUUCUUUAAGCAAAUUCAUCAUUCCAAAACAUGAAUAGAGUAUUAAUUUCCAAAAUACUUGUUCGUUAUCGGAGUAAACAUUCCUAGGCUAUCUAAUCUGUGGUGUGUGUGCCAUGCGAUCACCCCGAGCUCUUCCCUCCGCUACCGGAAGUACCCGAAACCAAAACUGAAAACCGUAAGCACGAAGCUUAGUGAGUUCCCCACCCUACCACAUACCAUACAUUCACAUAUCAUACACACUGUCGGGCAAUUAUGGGGUGCCCGACCUACCCGGNNNNNNNNNNNNNNNNNNNNNNNNNNNNNNNNNNNNNNNNNNNNNNNNNNNNNNNNNNNNNNNNNNNNNNNNNNNNNNNNNNNNNNNNNNNNNNNNNNNNNNNNNNNNNNNNNNNNNNNNNNNNNNNNNNNNNNNNNNNNNNNNNNNNNNNNNNNNNNNNNNNNNNNNNNNNNNNNNNNNNNNNNNNNNNNNNNNNNNNNNNNNNNNNNNNNNNNNNNNNNNNNNNNNNNNNNNNNNNNNNNNNNNNNNNNNNNNNNNNNNNNNNNNNNNNNNNNNNNNNNNNNNNNNNNNNNNNNNNNNNNNNNNNNNNNNNNNNNNNNNNNNNNNNNNNNNNNNNNNNNNNNNNNNNNNNNNNNNNNNNNNNNNNNNNNNNNNNNNNNNNNNNNNNNNNNNNNNNNNNNNNNNNNNNNNNNNNNNNNNNNNNNNNNNNNNNNNNNNNNNNNNNNNNNNNNNNNNNNNNNNNNNNNNNNNNNNNNNNNNNNNNNNNNNNNNNNNNNNNNNNNNNNNNNNNNNNNNNNNNNNNNNNNNNNNNNNNNNNNNNNNNNNNNNNNNNNNNNNNNNNNNNNNNNNNNNNNNNNNAUAAACCAUUCCUUGGGCACCCGCCCUCUAUCAUUGGACCUCGUCCCGAAUAUCAUACUAGCAUACUGUGCUUAGGGCUAACCCCCGGGUCUUCUACUCAUAACUACAUGGGCCGGCAUUGUGGCCGUAGACCCAUUCAUACAAAGGGAAACUCACCUACAUUGGCUGAACUGGCUGAUGAACCCACUAGCUGCUACCCGACAACUCUCUGAAUUCCUGCUCCACUCGCUCCUUGAGCUGCCAAAAUCAAUGCAACAUUGAGUCUAACUGACUCCCGAAAGACAACCAAGUCAAAUCUGGUCUAAGUCAGAGUCCAGGUCAAAGUCAACCUCCCAGGUCAACCCUACUCGUCGAGUCUUCCUACUGACUCGCCGAGUUCAUGCGCUCAAAGUCCUUCCAAUCGCGACUUGAUUCGCCGAGUCAGUCCAUGACUCGUCGAGUCCAACGAUUUUUGAGUCCUGACCUGUCCAACUCACCGAGUCUCCACUCGACUCACUAAUUCGAGUCUUAACUCGAAGGGUUUGGGGUUUCGCGACCUGACUCGCCGAGUCCAAGAACAGACUCGCCGAGUCCAAGGCAAUCUUCAACCAACUCGCCGAGUUGUUCUUCAAACUCGCCGAGUUCCUGCCCAACUUCAUCUGACUCGAUGAGUUGUUCAUCCCACUCGUCGAGUUCCUCCAAAUCUUCAUGCCACUCGUCGAGUCCACUCAAAGGACUCGCCAAGUCCAUUCAGACCUCCAUACAUGCAGAGGACUUUUGAGUCAUGCAUGGACUCCAAACUGUAGAUCUACCCUUCCCAAGCCUAUUCCUCACGUAAAGUUGCAAACUUUACGUGUAGAGAAGGAGAUCUAGGCAAAAUACACCAUAAACUAGGGUUUAAGGCAAGGAGGCUCCAUAAUCANNNNNNNNNNNNNNNNNNNNNNNNNNNNNNNNNNNNNNNNNNNNNNNNNNNNNNNNNNNNNNNNNNNNNNNNNNNNNNNNNNNNNNNNNNNNNNNNNNNNNNNNNNNNNNNNNNNNNNNNNNNNNNNNNNNNNNNNNNNNNNNNNNNNNNNNNNNNNNNNNNNNNNNNNNNNNNNNNNNNNNNNNNNNNNNNNNNNNNNNNNNNNNNNNNNNNNNNNNNNNNNNNNNNNNNNNNNNNNNNNNNNNNNNNNNNNNNNNNNNNNNNNNNNNNNNNNNNNNNNNNNNNNNNNNNNNNNNNNNNNNNNNNNNNNNNNNNNNNNNNNNNNNNNNNNNNNNNNNNNNNNNNNNNNNNNNNNNNNNNNNNNNNNNNNNNNNNNNNNNNNNNNNNNNNNNNNNNNNNNNNNNNNNNNNNNNNNNNNNNNNNNNNNNNNNNNNNNNNNNNNNNNNNNNNNNNNNNNNNNNNNNNNNNNNNNNNNNNNNNNNNNNNNNNNNNNNNNNNNNNNNNNNNNNNNNNNNNNNNNNNNNNNNNNNNNNNNNNNNNNNNNNNNNNNNNNNNNNNNNNNNNNNNNNNNNNNNNNNAAUAAUAGACUCGGUUCACCCUGACCCUGAACAUCCUGGAAACACAACUUACUUACCGACAAUCCUUCUGGUACUCACCGAGUACUGCACUGAACCUAUAGGGGUUCACCCCUUCUUUCCUUGCACAAUUCCUUGCCUUCCCAAGGCAAAGCUCCAUAACCAACUAUUCCUUCUGUCACUGUGAAGGCCCUAUCCUUCACCAACUCCAUCACCCCCGCUAUUUCCAGUACGGGUCAUAUCCGUCAGUAACCACUGACACCUCCUCUCUGCCAAAACUUGGUGCCGAGCACCCCUCGAUUCAAGUAACUGAAUUCCACCAUACGCUGCUUACCCGCAAUACCACUGACUGAAAAUUCUGCUAUUCCUUGUCUGCCUUCCGGAUGAACUGAGACCACCCUGGUCCCUACCAACCUAUCAAUGACUGGAUUACCGGCUCCCACCGGUAGUUGACCCAACACAACUACUAGUCGCUCCCAGGGACUUCCGAAGAAACUUCGACCACCUAUAACUGCUCAAUCUAUUCUGCUAUUCAGGCACUACAAACAUGGGAUCCCCGAUCCCCUAACUUGACACUAAGGUCCCUACCAGAUCCCACCUGCGCUGCUAAGACCCACGGGCCUCGCCCACGGGUCCCACCCGUCUCUAUCCUUCUAGUCCCACUAGUCUAAUCACUCUCGCUCGGGCCUCGCCCACGGGUCUCACCCCAACCAUAUCCUGGAGCAGCCUCUCCCAAGGUCUCACCUCUCUAGAGCUAAAUAGGCAAACUCCCUAUCAUUCUCAUCCACUACCCAUUCCUGAUCCCUGACCGAUCACUAGGAGGUAAGGGCCUCGCUCCAACUCCGCUAUCGAAGCUACUAAGGAAUGCUAUGGCUGCCCCGUAGUCUGACAACACUUCCGCCACUAACUGCUAAUACGAAGGCACCCAUGUGCCAUUAGCUCUCAAGAUCCUCAUUCUGACUCCCUCGAGUCCUACGGGCGAUCCACAACCUGAAUUCCCAACCACGUACUAACCAUUACCAUCACACGCACUAGUUGUUGGGGAGUUUCUCAAACUCCCAACCCUGAAAUCCUCAAUCCAUCAAAUGCUGAACUACCUCUUUUCCUUCUCGGAGGUUGCACCCUCAUUCUGGAUCUGCGUGCUCCUACCUUUUCACACUCGGAGGAUUCUCCCCCACUUCGAUCCUGCUUACCCCUUGUUGCUCAAUACUCAAAAGAAAUCCUUGCUACCAUUUCAUAAUCAAUCUGCUGAGGGACCCGUGCUUACCAUAGCUAGGGAUCUAACCAAUCCAUUUCUAACACUAUACAACUCCGAUCUUUUCAAUACUCAAAAGAAAUUCUUUUUAAAUGCUUUUAAAAAGAAUGUCUUGAAGGCAAAAACGUUUUUGAAAGUAAAGAAUGUUUUGGAAGAACAAAUGUUUUGAUAUGUGAAAUGUAUCUUUUCAAAGUAUAUUUUUCUAGUAACAUAUGCUAUUGAAAAUUAUGAUAUGUGUAUUGAUAAUGGGGAAUAUGAAAGCUAAAAAAAAAAAGUAAAAAGACACAAUGAAAACUACUCGGACCAUGAUACCUCAUAAGAGGCACUAGAGAAAUCUAUCGGGAUGACACCUCCCUCUUGCGAGAUAGAUGUCCUAAUUGAUAUGAUGCCUUGAUAAAUUGAGUUGCUCUUUCCACAUUAGUCUAGACUUGGGAGUGGUUCCUUUAUUGGGCGUAGACCCUAAGUAUAAAAAUGACAAUGAUUUAAUACCAUAAUUAGUCGUUAAUUAAAUAAUUGAAUGUAAUGUGUGUAACAUCGAAAAUUUCAAAAUAAUUUUUCAUUUAAAAAUAAUCGUUUAAUUCUUAAAAAAAACACUUUGCUUAAAAUCUCAUUCAUAAUCGAAUUACAAAACAUGACUCCAUUUCCACUUGCAUAAUAAACCAGGAUCCUCAAAACAUGACUCUUUCUCUGGUGUGUACAAUCGAGCCGGUGCCGUCCCGUGAUCCUGAGAGAAACCUGAAACACAUAACACAAAACACUGUAAGCACGAAGCUUAGUGAGUUCCCCAAAAUACCAUAUAUAACACAUAUUAGCCACUCGAGGCUAUAACUCUGUGGGUCCGUGCACCCAACUCUGUGAACCCUCAGGCUCUAUCUCUGUGAACCUUCCGGUUCUAACUUUGGGAACCUUCCGGUUCUAACUCUGUAAACAUGCACAUCAUAAAUCACAUAGAAAUAAUGCAGUACAACACAUAAGAUACAUAGCAUACAAAUACUCUGUCACAUAACUCUGGUUACCUAUUCAAGGUAAGGUAUAGUAAGAAGACUCACCUCGCGUAUCUCGGCAACUCAUAAAUCCCGAAAAUCACUAGUGCUCGAUCUCCCGAGUUAUAGUCCUCCUAUAACACAAGUAUAUCUCUAAUUAACACUAUCCCAACUAUGGUUGACUAAUUCUACCAAGUCAACACCAGUCAACUCUGGUCAAUGGUCAACGGUCAACCCAACUCGCCGAGUCUGGCGUGGACUCGCCGAGUCCCUACGGGGACCCGAUUCCUCUGAAUCCCUUCCGACUCACUGAGUCACUCACCCAACUCGGUUACUCAACCCCUGGUUCGAAAACACAGAACAACUCGCUCCAACUCGUCGAGUCUGCCAAUGGACUCGACGAGUGCAUUCCAUGCACAACCCCAAACGACCUUCUGAGGUCAGAUCUGUUCCACUAACUCAUAGAUCCAGUCUUUCCAAGCUCAUUUAUCACGUAAAGUUUAUGUCUUGGCGCUCAUAUCACACCUAUUGACUCAUAAGUGGUGUUUUAACCUCAAACACAAUGAUCCCAAACCAAAACCUCCAUAGACUCAUAUAAAGCUUGGAUAAAGAGGCACUCUAGACCUCCAUGGGUCCAGAUCCAGAACCUAAUUCGCUUAAGGGACCAUGGGAGCACUAGAUCUAGUCACAAAAGGGCUCAAUAAGCCCUAAAUCAACAUGAACAUCACCACAACAUAAAAUGGUUCGAAAAUAGUACCUCAAACGUGAUGUUCUGGACCUCAGAUCUUCAGGAAGUUAACCCUCUUGCUUCCUCUUGGCUAUAGCUUCCUUUCCCUUGCUAGACAACACCUCCAAGGUCGACAAUGGCUCCUUCUCUCACUCUGAACGCUCAAGCUCACUAGGGUUUCGCUCUGGGGGCUGGUGAGCACAAAUGACGGCCAUAAGACCCCUUUAAAUAGGUCCCAGACCUGAGAAAUUAGGGUUUCAUUAAACAGCACGGACUCGCCGAGUCCACCAAUGCGACUUGGCGAGUCCGGUCAUUAAUCCGGGUGAGAAAUCGCGUCUCUACUCGGCGAGUCUACGCACCAACUCGCCGAGUUCUUCCACAAAACUUGAAAUAAAAAGAAUAGAUAUAAUACCUGAAAUUUCGGAUGUUACAAUGUGAAAUGAAAUGCCUUUUGAAUUAUGUUAAGUCCAAUAAAAUGUUUUGAUAUGGAAUAGAAUAUGGAAAAUGUCUUAUGAAAUGAUAUAAUAUGAUAUGUUAUGUUAUGUAUGAGACAAUUUACAUGAAAAUACUUUGAAAUAUUUUUGAUAAAAAUAUGAUAAACGUUUUGGGUCGCAAACCCACGUAUCUCAUGAGAUAUUAUUGUUAAGUAUCUUUUUUUAAUGUCGUAUAUCAAAGGUUGCACUUAAGGAGAAAAUAUGAUAUAUGAAAGUUAUAAGUAAAGAGAUAGAGAAUGGUGUGGAACUUGUUAAGUUCCUUAUUUAUUGUAUUGAUGUUAUCCUUAUUUGCUUGCUAUUGUUUUAUUGAUGUUUAAUAGUAUCACACAAUGUUUUAACUGUAAAUGCUUUUAUGGUACCGAGUUUUUAUUAAAUGCGGGUUAAUUCUUGAAAAGAUUUUAUAACCAUAACUUUGAAACAGUUUGAAAAUUUUGGGGUGUUACAAUUUGGUAUUAGAGACAUAGUUUAAGUGAAUUAGGGGUUGUUUGGCAGGAUCAAAAUUUUAAGAGGUAUGAAUUCUAAAAAUGUCUGAAUUUUUAAGAUCCGAAUUUUAACAUGUUGUUUGGUUGGAACCUCUGAAUUAUUGUGUUGAAUGAUGAAAAUGAUCAUUUUAACCUUCUCUAUUAUUAGUUUUUUGCUAAAUUUAAUGCUUCCAUUUUAAAAAAUAACUAAACCAAAUCCUCGAAUAAUUACAAAACAAUUAAACACCAUACAAAAAACUAGACGGUGCAAAAACUUAUAUAAGGUUCAACAUCUAAGAUUUAAAGUAUCGAAUAACAAAUAUCUUUCUACUCAAACAUGACACCAAAAAAUUUCUUCAUACAAUACAUCAUACUUCUCAACUUCAACCAUUUUACACACAACGAACGUCCUUUAUUGAUAAACAAAAACCUUAAUAAUCUACCGGUUUUGAAUUUGAUUUUUUGAUUCAAUGAUAUGAAUGCUUAAGCAUCAUAUAAAGAUUGACAAAUGUUUGUUAAAUUUCAUAACAUUCAAACAUAAAAUAGUUACAAUUUUGGACAAAAAUAAUGAAAAAUGUUGUUAACAUAAAGGAAAAAACCCACACACAACAAGUGAAAGUUGAUCAAUUCCUUGCAAAUCCCUGUUGCUUGGGGUGGUUUCUAAACAACUUGCACAAAGCAUGUCCUGAUAAUCAUAAAAAUGCACAUAAUACACAUGAAUUCAUAAUAUAUCCAAAUCAGUAACUGUGAAACUCUAAUUUAAUUAUGAAAUGGAGUCAAACAUAAGUAUGUUACUCGAAAAGAAACAAAUAAAGAGUAAAGACAUCCAACAAUCAAUACUAUACUUAAUCCUACCGGUAGAUCAUCCAAUUCAAACUUCAUGAACUUUUUUGCAAAAUCAACAAAUAAUUUCAUCAAAUCUGGAGGAUAAUUUCAAAUUUUUUGCACUAGAACAUAAUUCGGCCCAGUGAAAAAAAAUUCAACAAAAUCAACACAAAUUCCUUAACACCAUAACAUAACUCCAUCAAAUAAUUUUAGCGAUUCAGCAAAAUCAGCACGAAUAAUAGCCUGAUUUUAACCAGAAAUCGGCGAUUCAGCGUAUUUGGGGGAGAGAGAAAAAAGUAAAACUGAAGAACGGUACAUACCUAAAGCGACUUAUUCUGCCCUUCGACCUCCUUCUCUAUUUGUGUUCCUGUUUCUACCGUACACCAAAGAUCAAGUAGGAGUCAGUUUUCUCCCAUGCUCAAUUGAUGGUGGCCGGAUUUGUGCGAUGGGCGUCGGUGCUAUGUGACGUCAGAGAUACAGGAAGAAGAGGGAUGGAGGCUGGUGUUCGGUGGAUGAAAGAAGAAGAGAAAGGGACAACAAGGGUAGGGCAAAAAGGGCAACACACCUUUUAUGGUUACAUGUCUGACCGAAUAAAUGAUGAUUUUAAGAUUCAGAUGCCAAAAUAAGUUAUAAACAAACACCAAUAAAUUCAGACCUAUAUCUUAUUAAGAGGUAAUACAAGGUAAAUAAAGAGGGCCUGAGGAUUGUAUCAUUUCACUCCUUGGCUUAGACUUUAGUUAUGGAAAGUGUGAAUGAGUUACAGGAUUGCUAUACCUUAAUUAGAUAGAAUCUUAUGCAACAUGUGACAGAACUGAAUUAUCAUGCUAGAUGUUUUAUGAAGCUCUAGAUAAGUUAGAUGAACUUAUAGAAUGCUAUAUUGAAUGCUUUUUAAAGUGAAUUUUGGACAAUAUAGACCAAUGGAUCAAAGUCUUUAAGUGGUAAAAUCAAGUUCGGUUAUAUAUAUGAUUUGAGUAUAGUAUAGGGCCAUACUAUUAUAAAUAAAUGAUAGAUACCCGAAUUGAAUAUAGCGGUACUCACAUUUUUUAUGAGAUAAAGUGAUAAAUAGGAAAGCAACAAUCGUGUUAUGAAAACUGAAAAGUACAAGUGGUAUUCAUAUUUCCAACCAAUAUCAAAAAUAUGUUGAUGGUUAUACAAUAUGAAAACGGAGACUAUAGCAUUGUUCUGAUUAAAUGAGUACCUUAAACUAUAACGCACAUAAUAAUAUGCUUAUAAUUCAAAUACAAAUAGUCUUCGAAGCAUAACUCAGUGAUUACGAAAUGCCCUAAGAUAAUUUAAGAGUUUAUAAUAGUAGAGACUAGCACAAAACCGACUUUUCUUCCUUUGGGUAGUUUGUCUUUACACUAAAUGCACUUCUCAGCAUCCAAAAUCAUCGUCAACAAAAGAGCAGCAGAACAACAAUGUUUAUCCAUCCUCCAAAUCUGCACUACACUCCUUAAUCUCAACCAAAUUCAUGCACAGAUUCUCAAACUGGGUCUCCAAAACAACCCACUAGUCCUCACCAAAUUCACUUCAACAUCAUCCGAUCUCAAUGCCAUUGACUACGCUUCAUCCAUCCUAUUCUCUCCGGAUGCUAAAACACAUCUCUACGAUACUUUCCUUUACAACACCGUCAUUAGAGCUUACGCGCAAACCCAUCAAUCCAAGAUCACAGCUGUUGAUAUUUACAAAACCAUGGUUUGGAAUGAUGUUACCCCUAAUAAGUUCACAUACCCAUUUGUCCUCAAGGCCUGCGCGGGUGUGGGGAGGUUACGUUUAGGCGAAUCGGUUCAUAGUAAGGUUGUGAAGUUUGGGUUUGAUGAGGACAUACAUGUCUUGAAUACUAUGGUUCACAUGUAUUGUUCUUGUGGUGAGGUUGAUAAUGCACGAGUCGUGUUCGACGAAAUGCCUAAGUCGGAUUCUGUAUCCUGGAGUGCAAUGAUCGGUGGGUACGCACGCAUGGGAAGGUCAACCAGUGCUGUUGAGUUGUUUAGAGAGAUGCAGAUUGCUGGGGUUAAACCCGAUGAGAUCACCAUGGUUUCUGUUCUCUCUGCCUGUAGUGAUUUAGGCGCUUUAGAGCUUGGAAAAUGGGUUGAAAACUAUAUAGAAAGAGAAAAGAUUCCAAAAAGCAUCGAACUUUCUAAUGCCCUUAUUGAUAUGUUCACUAAAUGUGGCGACAUGGAUAAAGCUUUAAGGCUAUUCAAAACCUUGGAUCAUAAAACCAUCGUUUCUUGGACUUCUGUGAUUGUGGGCAUGGCAAUGCAUGGACGUGGGUUAGAAGCUGCUUCAUUGUUUGAAAAAAUGAAUCUUUCUGGGGUCCCACCAGAUGAUGUCACUUUUAUCGGGUUGCUUUCAGCUUGUAGUCAUUCAGGUUUAGUCAACGAAGGCCAAAAGUACUUUGACUCCAUGACUUCAAACUUCCAUAUAAAACCCAAAAUCGAGCAUUACGGAUGCAUGGUUGACCUUUUCAGUAGAGCAGGAUUAGUCAAAGAGGCACUAGAAUUUGUUACCAAAAUGCCCCUUGACCCAAACCCGAUAAUCUGGAGGACGUUGACCGCAGCAUGUCGUCUCCACGGUCAACUCAAUCUCGGUGAAACCAUCACAAAAAAGCUGAUCGAAUACGAGCCGUUGGAUCAAUCUAAUUAUGUCUUGCUUUCGAAUAUAUACGGGAAAAUGUCGGAUUGGGAAAAGAAAAAGAAAAUCAGAGACGUGAUGGGCGAAAAGGGAAUAAAAAAGAUUCCCGGGAGUACAAUGAUAGAACUAGACAACAAGAUGUAUGAAUUUGUUUCGGGUGAUAGAACACAUGAUUUAGAUAAAGAGAUUCAUGAGAUGAUUGAUGAAAUGGGGUGGAAGAUGAAGAUGGCUGGAUAUGUUGCUACUACUUCAGAGGUGUUACUUGAUAUCAAUGAAGAGGAUAAAGAAGAUGCUUUGAAUAGACAUAGUGAAAAAUUAGCUAUUGCAUUCGCGCUUUUGAAAACGCCACCUGGCACUCGUAUACGCAUUGUGAAAAACUUGCGUGUUUGUAGCGAUUGUCAUUCUGCAACAAAGUUUGUUUCCAAGAUUUAUAAUCGGGAGAUUGUUGUUAGAGAUAGAAAUAGAUUUCAUCACUUUAGAGAUGGGAUUUGUUCAUGUAAAGACUUUUGGUGAAACUUGAUGUAAUUUGCAUAACAUACUAAACUUGCAUUUUACAUGAUUACAUAACAACUAUCAAGAUCUUUCUUUAACUCGACAUAAACAUUAAUUCUAUAAUUAAUCAGCUUGAUCCUAACCUUAAACCACGAACAAUGUCGGGUUAACACAAUGUAUAAUUCGUGCAAACAUUUAAUGUAACAAACAAGUUGCACUAGGUUCUGUAGAAGAACUUGCCCCAUAAGCAUUGUUGCAACGUGCAAUUGUAUUUUCUCCAGUCACAGUUGAUGUUAUGUUAAUCUGAUCCAAAGAAAUACCAGAACAUGCUACUUUGUUACUGCAGUCAAAAUUUAUUGCAGUUCGAGAUGAUGAUGUUCCUUGAAAUAAUCUGUAAGUUAUAUCACUAAUCUCCACUGCUGAACCCUGCAAAUCAAAAAUUAUAAGCUCAUAAUUCAAUUUUUUAAGUGAUUAUUAUUUGAAAAGGUUUUACCUCUGUAGGGCAAUUAUUUCCACUAGGACAAUAGUAUUGAUCCACAAGUAUCGGGUUAUUCACAUCAUGAAGUGUAAUUUGCUCAAAUGUGAUAUCUCUGGCAUAUCCAGAUCCUCCCUAUAUGAUUGUGGAUAACAAUGUUUAACAUUGACUAUUUAUGAUGAUGAGAGAAAAAAAUUGUAAUUUUUGUCUUACUGACACCGAUACAAUUUAAGCUGACAAACACAGUAUACCCUAUUACCUGCCAUGUUUUGAUUCUUGCUCCGUUUUGUGUUCCGGUGAAGUUGCAAUUUCGUACGUAAACACCUUCCACAGUAUCAUAUUCCCCAUUUAUGCCUAAACUUCCGAUGCUACAAAGAUUAAAGAAAAAAAUAACAAUAAGCGACAACAAAUAUUUGACCCAUAACAUUGAUCCGACCCGACUUUGAAUUUUACCUUAUACCAUGGCCCGGACCGCAAUUUAUGCCCGUAAUAUUGAUUUGAGAGGAUCCGUUGAUUAGAGCAAUACAAUCGUCACCUAACAUUUUAUAGCACGAAAUGUUGUCAUGUAAUAUAACAAAAUGUGAAGGUAAACCAAAGACAACGAAUAUUAUAUGAAGUAUGUACCAGUUUUAAUAACGGAAUCGUUUAUUUGUAUGUAGGUUGAGAUUGAGACGUCGAUUCCAUCAGUGUUUGGGCUAUUUGCAGGUGCAACUAUGUCUAAAUUUGAAAUAAUUGAAUUACUGCAUCUGUAUAGACCGAUAUGAUUUCUAGGGCUAUCAAGAUGCUUAAGUUGUCUUAAUCGAAGCCCAUAGCAUUUUUCAAAAUGUAACGCCUACAUACACAUUGCAAAAAAACUUACUAUUAUGGUGUCAACAUUCACAAUAUAGUAAGUACAACACUGUUAUGUAGCAACACGUUUUUAGUGUAUGUUUAAUUAAUAACGUUUAUUAAACAAGAUACUUACCGUUGGUGGUAUUGAACAUGUAGAUUCUUCUGUUAUCUACAAAAAAAAAUAUAUUAAAUCAGUAUAAUUAUAGUUUUAAAAAUCAAUGAUUGUGAAUAUUAUCUAAAAAAAGAAGCUAAAAUGCAUGUACAUCAGACAGAGAUUUGGUCCACCAAGCACUGCCACGACCAUCGAUAGUACCACCACCAUCGAUAAUAAGAUUGUUAACGUCAUAAAAUAAUAGCCAUGCCCCGGUUUCACAACUACCCCAUGAACUAGGGUUUUCAGGGGCAAUGAUUGUACCCAAUAUCUGCUCAACAUAGUAAAUGUGAGUUUAAUGAUGGUUUGCGACUUUGUGUGUUUUUUGUUCUUUUAUAACAAUUUGAUGUAUUUGAAAUAUAACAAAAAGAUUUUGUAUGUGAAAUAUAAGUUUGUAUUUUGGGAGGGGGGAUAGGAUUACCAGAAAAUGGAUAUUUGGAGAUUUACACGGGCCUUGAAAGCUGAUCGGGCCCACUAAGAAGGUUUGGGCCGAUGGUAUGAUCAUCCUUGACAUUGGUCCAACAUCAUUACAUAACUCUUGCCAAGCUUCUUCAAAAGCCUUGUUGCAAACAUUAAAUUAAACAACAAAAAGAUAAACUCAUUGUAUUUUAUUAGGUAAACACUUGGGAUUUGUUAAAAGCUUAUUCAAACAAUUACUAUUUUUAAUGCUUUAUUUUAAAAAAUAGAUUAUUCUUUUGAAUAAUUUAUUUUUUAAGACAUGAAAUUUAUGGAAAAGAAGUGUAAAUGAUCGUAUAUACCUUUGUAUUAUCAGUCAUUCCAUCGCCCUUGGCGCCAUAAUUCAUUACAUUAUAAGCACCACCAUGGCUAUGAUGUAACAAACAAAGCAAUAACAUGAUAAAAAGUAGCAUUUUUAUUCUACUUAUUAUACACAUAUAUAAUAUUAAGAAUGACUUGUGCAUGAAAUACAAUUCUCUGGUAUUGUGUAGUUUCUUUUCUUGAUCAAUAGUUGGUGAAUAUUUAUACAUAUUUGAUAUAUGUAUGUGUUGAAUGAAGUGAGGGAAGAGUCCAUGAUUUUGACUUGAAAUUUAAUGUUUUAAAACUUCCAAAAGAGAAAACAAGAUGUUGAAACUAGAAUCUAAACUUUACAUAUUAAAGAAUAUCAAGUAUCAACGGAUAUUCUCCAUUUCACCAUUUUUUGUUUUAUUACUCUAUUUGUUUGAAAUAUCAAACGUCUUUAAUUUCAAAAUCGUGAAAUAAGUAAUUUUAUAUGUAGUUCCAAAAACGGCAUUUGUCUAAUGAAACUUCAACACAUACUUUAUUUGUCUUAAAGGAAUAAUACCAUUUGGGUAAACUGUGAGAUUAUUUGUAACACAUCUAAAACAUCAUUCACUAAGUUACUAAAAGCAUUGUCUUUUACCUUUUAUGAAAUGUCAAAAGCGUGAAGUAUUUCGAUUUUUAUUCAACAAAAGUCGAAUCUUUUUUUGUCAUUUAUGAUAAAUCAGAAAUAAUGACCCUUACCUUGUUUUCUUUUACUGUUAUUUGGAAUAUAUGUUUCUUAUUGCAGCCGAUAAAAUUAUGCGUUAAAUUCAUAAAGAUUUUGUUUAGGUAUCUUGUGAUAAUACUUAAUUUUGUAUUUUUCAGGAUUAAUAAGUUUAACAUAAUUAGCUAUUUAUAAUAUCUAUUUUAGUCCAUACCAAAUUUACUUUGCUCUUAAAGUCCUUUUAAUUUAGUUUUUCAUUUCAAUUUAUGUAAAAACAAGAUUUGAACUGAUCACACGAUGAUUUAGCAUUAGCAUGACUGUUAUCGACACAACGUGACUAUCUUUUGACAUGAAUUAAUCUUGAUGUAACAUUUCACAUUCAAAUUUUGUUUUAUUGUUUGUUACCAUCAUUAAACAAAACACCACAUCUUUAUAUCAUCAUGUUAAACCAUUGUAAUAACACAAGUAAGAAAGGAUGCUAAAGAUCUACAUUUCCAACUACAUAAUACAUUAUAAACCAGAUAUGAUCACAAUGUCAAUCAAAAAAGGGAAAAAAGUCUACAAAUGGUUUACAAAAGUUGCUACAGAAUAAAACAUACGAAAAGGUGAACAUAUGCAAAUUGAUGCAACAUCAUAAACCAUUAAUUGUCAACUAUUCCUAAGAAGCACUGCAAGGACACAACUAAACAUCAGUCACAAUUUCCGUAAAAAAAACUGUAAAACAAGUGCAUUAGGAGUGGCAGAAAAAGUAAUUUGAUGGGUAAAUAAUACGUACUAUAUGUAUAGUAUUUAUCUAAUCAGGAAGCUCUUUAAUAUCCACUUCAACUUUUCUUGAAUCUAAUCAUCUAUAAUCACUUAGAAGUUGUUUGGCAACCUCUGAAUGAUUCAAAGGUUUGGAUCCGACUCUAAAUGAAAACAUGUUGUUUGGUAAAACUGCUUAACGGAUAUAUUGAACGUGAAUAAUUAUCAUUUUACCUUAUUGUUUAAAAGUAUUAACAAACACCAACAAACCAUCCAAAAAAUAAAAUAUUCAUACCAUCUUAAAAUUGACAAAAAGUCAUCACAUGAAAUAACAAAAGGAUUCUUUCAAUUCACCAUUCAUGAACUGCUAUACUACUAUUCCAUACCGAAUUACCACAUGAAAUUGCUAUACUACUAUUGCAUACCGAAUUACCACAUGAAAUAGCAAAAUGAUUCUCAAUUCAGCUUUUAUGAAAUAACAUUCAUACCACACAAAAAAUCUCUCUUUCAAUUAGUUUUCAUGAAAUAGCAAAAGGUUCCGCAAAUGGAAAGUAUAACAAUCACCACUACGAGUGAUAUCGUUGAAACAAAAGGACCUUUGACGAAGCCAUGCAUGCUUACUCAGACAUGAAAGUUCAAACUCUAUCGACAGAUAACUAAGACAUGUGAAUGCAAUGGUGCUCUAUCACAUGAUCAAAAAAUUCAUAGGAGGAAGGCGAAGAUAAGCUUCAAGAAGCCGAACAUACACCCAACCUUUCCGCUUGGAGAAUACAUGAUACUUGCAAGAGUAGAGAUGUCUACGAUGUCUAUCGACGACAAUUAUAGGGAAUAACACACUCUAUUGAAUUCGGAGUAACCGUAGACACAACGAUAACUAAGUGAUCACCAACCAUUAUCAAAGAAUCCGAAGACGAGCAUCCCAGAAAAAACAUAGUACGUAAAUGGUAAAGAAAAAAUAACUAAACUGAUAGAUUUUUUUUAUUUAAAGAGGGGGUGAUUUGGGCGGUACUAUGAUAUCACGCCCAUUAGGCCAUUACCAUUGAUGUGAUGAGACGACCAUUCCGUAACUGAAACAACGGUUUGGUGUCCCAUGUGCACAUGCAUUAAUACACCUUAGAAAGUGGGUACAACUGUAAAAGAAACAAUUAAAAAUGGGCACACUCUAGUUUCGAAUAACAUAGCACGAUUAACACUCACUUAGGGGCUGUUUGAUUUAAGCUGACCGGGUCCAGUCAGUGUUGACUGCUGACUCGGUCAGCAGUCGGAUGUUUGAUAAAUACAAAAUAAAGCUUACUCGGUCAGCCCAUUACUCUUACCCGGUAAGCCAAAAAAACCCUCCUGACUGGAAAAGCUACGCGUUUUCUUUUUGUCAUUUGCCCUCACUCGCCUCCUUCGCUAUCGGUAAUAACCUAGACAGUAGACAUCAGCCGUCUUCUUCUUCUCCAUCGCCAAGUGCUGAUCGCCUCCCUCCUCAUCUUCUCCGGCGACGACGCAGCCCAUCUUCUCCGGCGACGACACUGCGCGACUUCUCCGGCAACGACAAGGUAACUGCGUGUUUUUUUUUUGCUUUAUUUGAUCUGAAAUCACAAAUUGCUGCUCCCUAAUACAAAUUUCUUCUCCUGCUCCUGCUUCCCUAAUAUAAAUUGCCGCUCGUUCUUCCUCUUCCUCUUCGUUUUUUUUUUUUCUGAAAUCACACAACCCUUCAUGUUUGCUGUCAAAUUGAUGAUUUCAUUUUGAAAUCAAAGUUUGCAAUGUGUGAAACAUCAAAAAUCACAGCCCCUUAUAUAGUUGUUUUAUAUAGUUGUUAAAUCACAGCCCCUUCAUGUUUACUAAUGUGUGAAAUCAAAGUUUGCAAUGUGUAUAACAUCAAAAAUCACAGCCCCUUAUAUAGUUGUUUUAUAUAGUUGUUAAAUCACAGCCCAAUCAUGUUUACUAAUGUGUGAAAUCAAAGUUUGCAAUGUGUGUAACAUCAAAAAUCACAGCCCCUUAUAUAGUUGUUUUAUAUAGUUGUUAAAUCACAGCCCCUUCAUGUUUACUAAUGUGUGAAAUCACAGCCCUUAUAUAGUUGUUUUAUAUAGCUGUUAAAUCGAAUGAAUUGUGUACUGUGUGUAUAUGUUAUGUUUAUGUGCAUAUGUGUGUAACAUCAAAAUGCUCAAGACAAUGAUUAGAAUUUGUUACAUAGGUAUAUAUGCAUUACCAAACUGAUAUAUGAGAUCUUGUCUUCAAGUUAUGUACUGUGUGUAUAUGAUAUCUCCCAAGUCUUGUCUUCAAGUUGUAUUAUCUUUAGGUUAAACAAAAAAAUAUAUGUUUUAUCUUAUUGACAUCAAACAAAUAGUGUUAGCUAUUUGUAAAUGUGUGUUAUGUGGAUGAUUAUUUUUUUUUCUUUUUACAAUAGACAUGACAGAUAAAAGAAUUAGGGUUAGUUGGAAGUCGGAAUUGGUGGACAAAACUUUUUUGGAAGCAUGUAUACAAGAAUUAACAAGCAAUGGCCGGGAGGGUAGCGGACUAAAAGCAAGCUCAUGGGCUGUGGUCGCGGAGAAAUUGAAAACAGAUCAUAAUUUUAUUGUCGACAAAAAACAAAUGAAAAACCGAUACGACUAUUUAAAAGCAAAGUAUGCAGUGUGGUUAAAACUUAAAAACAAAACAGGAAAUAUUUAUAAUCCCGUUACGAAUUCUUUUAACAUGACUAAUGAAGAAUGGGAAGCGGAAGCGAAGGUACAUAUAUACAUAUUUUUUAAAGUAGAUUAUUUUUUUACUACUUUAAUAAUAUUUAUUAAAUUUGUCAAACAGUUGAACAAGUAUGUAGAUAAGCUGAGAAAUGCACCCCUCCCUUGCCCUGAACUUUGUACCCAACUAUUUGAUGGGGCAACCUCGACCGGUGUUCACAGUUGGGGGCCAUCUUCGACAUUACCUCAUCCCAAUGAAACCUUCAGUACACAUGAUUUUGAGGAUACAGAGAUGGAUGAGCCAGCACCUCAUGCAGAUACCCCAAGCUCAACAAUACCUCAACCUACUAGUGAGGAAUCAUCUGGGCGGACAAAAAACAAGGGAGGCAAACGAAAUGGUCCUAAAGAAACCACACUUGAUGAUGAGUUGAAAGAAGUUGGAAAAGAGAUUAUCAAGGCUGCACAAGCAUUCACCGAAGCAAAUAAUCUUGACAAGGAGAUGGAUGCUUGUAUGGCGAAGUUGACAUGCUUGGAGUGGGGAGAAUAUGAUCCGAAAUACACCACUGCUCUUAUGUUAUUUGCUGAAAGUGCUGGUAAUAGGAAAAUUUGGUUGCGCCUUAACUUGUCAACUUGUGAGUCGUGGGUAACAAAUGCGGGAAAAAAAUUUGGAUUAGUUGGUUGACUUUAGUAUUUACAUGUUACGUUUGACUUUAGUAUGUUAUGUUUCAUUGUUUGACUUUAGUAUGUUAUGGUUUAGUUAUGUUAUGGAUUGUUUUUCUUAGGUGCGGUUAUGUUAUAUGAAUUUAUAUGUUAUGGAAUGUUAUGUUUUUCGUAUUUACAUGUUACGAUUUGUUAUGUUAUGGUUUGUUAUGUUAUUGAUUGUUAUGUUAUGGAUUGUUAUGUUAUUGAUUGUUAUGUUAUUGAUUAAAAUGUAAUUUGUAUUUGACAUCUAACAGGACACAUGGAUAAAGAAGGUGACUUUUUAUAUUUUCUUAUAUUCUCGUGGUAUUGGUUGAUGUUGGUCCGACAAAGGCAAAGAAUAAUUAAAAGAAUAAGAGCUAGCGAACAGGUAGCAAAGGGAUAUGUGUAUACGCAAGAUUUGAUACACGGAUGUCCUAUACAAUGUUACGAUAUGAUACGUCUUUCACAAGAUGCAUUUGUACUAUUAUGCAAUCACUUUACACAAAGAAAUUGGUUGCAAUCUAGUAGGACGAUAAGCGUUGAAGAGAAGAUGGCUAUGUUUUUACAUGUUAUAGGACAUAAUGAACGUUUUCGAGCCGUUAAAGAAAGAUUUCAUCACUCCACACAAACGAUUCAUCAAUGUUUUCAUGAGGUCUUACGUGCAAUGAUGUGUUUUGCACGAGAAAUUAUAGUACCAACCUCGUCUAAUUCAACAACAAAUACCUCAGAACGACAUAGACGGCUAAUGCAGAUAUUUCCCGGAGCAAUAGGUGCACUAGAUGGAACACUUGUACAUGCAGUUGUGCCUGUUGAUCAACAAACUCGUUAUAGGGGAAGAGGAAAAGGUGAAUGUUAUCAAAAUGUAAUUGGAAUUUGUAAUUUUGAUAUGAUAUUCACCUUUGUAUGGGCUGGAUGGGAGGGCAUAGCACAUGAUUCUAAAGUUUUGAAAGAAGUUGCAUUUAACCCAACUUCCGGAUUUCCAUUCCCUCCACCAGGUUUGUAACUUUACUAUACGUUUUAUUAUCUAUAUUAUUUAUAUGAUAAAUUUGUCAUGCAUCUACAGAUAAAUAUUACCUUUGUGAUGCCGCAUACACCAACACCCGUGGAUUUAUGGCUCCCUACCGCAAUACUAGGUAUUGGUUAGCCGAUUUUCGAAGAAACAGAGCUUUGACUAAGGAAGAAAUGUUCAAUCAUGCUCAUGCACAACUUAGAAAUUACAUUGAACGUGCUUAUGGUGUGUUGAAGGCGAGAUUUCCAAUUUUAAAACAAAUGGCUCCUUAUCCUUUUCCAGUGCAAAGAGACAUAGUCAUUUCUUGUGUUGCGGUCCAUAAUUUUAUAAGGAAAUACGAUAUUGAAGAUGAAUUAUUUACGAACUUUGAACAAAACACUAUGGUUAGUCAUAAUGUGGGUGGUGGAGGAAAUGAGGGUCAAAACAUAGAAGGCAUAGAAUGGGGUUCAGAAGCCGUUAACUAUAUGACUAAUUUGCGUGACCAGAUUGCUAAUCAGUUAUUUUCAAAUGGUUCACGUUAAAUGGUGUACUUUUUUUAUUAUGUAUGACAAUUUGUAUUUGGAUUUUGUAUUACACUUUGUAUUUGGAUUUUAAUUGAUGUAUGUUUAAUUUGGAUUUUAUAUGAUAAUUUGUGGUUUUAUAAUUUUUUUAUCCAGCACAAGAGACAACAUAAGGGUAAUAUGGUCAUUUUUUCAUUCAGCACAACCAUUCAGAUAAAUAAUCAAACAACAUAAACUCAGUCAGAUAUGGACUCAGUCAGCAUUUCUAACCCAGUCAGCUUCUAACCCAGUCAGCUCUAACCCAGUCAGCAACUAUCAAACGACCCCUUAGUCAUCCUAUGGGACUUGAUAGGGCCCUACCUUCCGGACAUCGAAAAUCUUGUUAUUCCCAUAUUUAACCCCAACAUGUGGACCUAUUCCUGAGAAAUAAUAACAGGAGUAACAUGAGUUGGCAUACAAUAAGUGUUGAAAUAAUUAAUAUUUCAUUAUUAUUCUACAAACUAAACAAGGUGAAUCAAAUAUUAUAAGAUAUUGAUUUAUUUUGGUUAAGUGUAGGAAAAGAAGGACCAAAAGUGUUCAAAUAGGAUGUUGUUUAAGCUGAAGGUUGUUGAAACGGGAUGAAGGUGAGUAGAAGAUGGAAUUCAUGGCAUGCAUUGUUGGGGAGCAGUAAGUAGGGUGAUGGUGGAGAACCAGAUUCCUUAUAGAUCAUGUAAGUUCACUUACCAAACUGAUAUUUUCACCUUAUGUCUGGGUUACAGGAAAUCAAGUCUAGGAUAAUCCAAAAAAGACACUUGUGUAUCUUGGUACAUAAACACAAGCCAAAAGAUGAGUCCUAUAUAUGCAUGACAAAUUAGGGUUUCUAUCUUCUAAAUUAGUUAGGAGAGUCACAAAUUUAACAACUUAAUCAAUGGUUUCCAAAACUUACAACAAUUUUCAAUCUUACCGUAAUUACCCUACUAGAAUUUGGUUUUUCCAUAAUGAAAAUAAUUCAAAUUUCCGAAGACCUUUUAAGGUGUUACCCUAAACCCCUUAGGGACGUUGACCCUCGAUCGCCAAGGGCUCUGUCUCUUGGACCCUGAUAGGGGCGUGACCCCCUUAACCCCCUACGUUUUGCCGUAUUGGCUUAUAAUUUGAUCUUUUAUAUGCAUGCAUUAUGCGUUCACCAAACAUAUAAUAUAGAGUACAAAUAAUAAGCCUUUUAGUUCACAUGUUAGUUUCAAUUACCCAAAAUGCCCGAUAACACUAAAAUCACCAACAUGCAUCUCAUUAUCUCAAAGUUGUGAAGAAUGAAAAAGGUUAUUUUCGAUCCGGGUCAUAUUGUUGGAUCAACCUUUGAAUAUCAAGAGAAUGACUUAGGAUUAUCUAUAAUUAAAUUAAUAAUCAAUUAAUUUAAAUUAAAAAUAAACCAAUUGAUUUAAGAUUUAUCUAUUAAUUAACAUUUACUUAAAUAUAUUAAAUCAAAUAAGGAUUAUCUAAUUAAAUUAAUCAAAUAAUUUAAUCCUAAUCCUUACCCUCUAAAUUUUCGAAAACAAGGGUAUAAGAUUUAUUCCAAUUUUAAUUAUCUAUAUUUAGGCAAGUAAAAUGAUAAUUAAUAAAAUUUGAAAAACCCUAAUAGCCUACCAUAUUUCAAAAAUACUUGGGGGGGAGGCUAGGGUUUCAAAACCCUAGCCCUAAAUUUCGAAAACUUGGGGAAGGGGGCUAGGGUUUCUUAAACCCUAACCCUAGUCGAAAUUAAUGACCUUUUAAGGUUUAAUUUCUAUAACCCCUAAUUGAUCUAUUCUUUUAUUAUAGUUAUUUAACAGAAAACAAACCAAAUGCUCUAAUACCACUGAUGGGUUUUAGGCAUAACAAACAAACCUAAAACUCUUAAGAGUGCAUGCAACCUAAAACAAGAUCUAUGUUUUCUCUAUUGAACCUAUAACUAAGAACAUCAAAAAGAAACCCUAAGAACCCUAGUAUAUUUUCGAAAAUACUAAAAAAGGUUUAGGAUUUCAUACCUUUUAGUUGUUAUAGCAAACAACUAGAAAUCUCUUUGAAGAUCUCUUGGAAGUAAGCACCACGAGUCUCGAGCCUCUAAUGGAAUCACACCCAACUAUCAAGAGAAAAAAUUAGGAGAGAGGAGGGAAUUUAGUCCAAAGCUUGUGGAGGAAAGGCAUUGAUAAAAUCAAGGGCCAAGAAUCUCUUUAUAUAGUUGAGGAAACUUGGUGCCAUAGCUAGGGUUUAAGGGAUAUGCCCUGGAUCCCUUUGCUUGGUGACCAAACAACACAAUCCCUUUACCUUAGGGUCUUGAACGAAAUCUCCUAGGGUUUCCCAAGAGAUUUUUUGUCCACCUCUUUCAAGAGGUUCUAGAGCCUUCCUUUCUCAAAUAUUAUUAAUAAAUAACAAACAGUCCCUGUACUUUUAAUUAAUCAAAUUAAUCCCAAAAAUAAUUCCAAUUAAUUUUUGAUUAAUUAUUAAUUAAAUAUUACUAUUUAUAAUUAGAGAAAAUGACAAAAAUAGCCAUUUACACUAAUUACAUUACAAAAAUAGCCAAAGAAAACCGAAGUUGCAAAAAUAGCCCUCAAUUUCGCAGAUGGAAUUGCGCCAUCUGCGAAAUGACCAUUCUAUCUGCGAAUGUACAAGCAGCCAAAACACAACUGUGCUUUAGCCGCUUGUACAUUCGUAGGUGUUUUUUUUUUUAAUUUUUUUUCUAUAUAUAUAUUGAAAAUGUAGGGUAAAAUCGCAGAUGGAAUAGCCCCAUCUGCGAUUUACUCUCAUUCCAUCUACAAAUUUGUGAUUUUUUUUUGUUUUAUUUUUUUUAGUUUAACUAUGAAAUCAAUUGGUUUGACUACGAAAUCAUGUUGCUAUAUAAAAAGUUUUGUAGAAAAUUAUCAGUUUGGUUGUUAUUUGUUUAGGAAGUUUCUCUAAAAUUUGUUCUAAAAAAUGAUUGAAUAUUUGGUUUGUCUUGUAACCGGUGGGAGAUGGCAAGUUAAUGGAACUAAUCUGGAAUACGUAUGUCCACAUGGAGGUAUUUCUGAAUUUGCUUUGAUAUUUUCUGAGUAUAUUAGUUAUAGUGAUUUUGUAUCUUUGGUAAGAAGCAAAAUUGGUUUGUUAGACAAAUAUAGAAUUAGUCUUCGUUUUCACCAUCCUGAAUUAAAUUAUUAUAUAGCUAUAGUUGAAGACAUGGAUGUUAGAAUGUUGAUAAACGUAAUCAAAUGUAGUGGAGGAAGGGUUGUGAAAAUGUUUGUGGUGGUUGAUGAAGUUGAGGAGGUUAAUAGGGGUGGUCAAACUAGAAAUCAGUUUGUUGGUAAUUUAUGCAGUUAUAAAGGGAGCAACGAUCUGAUAGGUACUUUCAAUACUCCUAGUGUACCUCAGUUUCACAGUGUUGCUGAAAAUGUUAAUAUUAGCUAUUCACCUAUUCACUAUGUGGAUCAUGAGAAUUACAAGUCUGUUGGUGAUGAUGAUGUUGGUACAUAUCUUAAUGAUGUGGGUGGUCGUUGUGAUGAUGUUGCCGAACAAGAAGUUAAAGUUAUGAAUAGGCGUGUGGUAGAUAAAACUAAAAAGAAAAAAAAUUCAAGUCAAAAAAAUGAAAAAAAUCAUGUUUACGGGCAUUAUGUUGAUGUUGGUGAUGUAUGUUUAGAUAUAACCGAGCUACAAAGUAAUUCCGAUAGAGAUGAGUUGGGUGAUGAAGUUAAAGCUAAGUUUCCCGAUAACCUUUUUCACGGUAUGCCCCCUGUACCAGCAUGGCCAGUUGAUAUUAAUGAAGAUAUCCCAACACAGAUGGUAGACAUGAAUCUUCAAAAGAUUCAAUGUGAGAGUAUAUUUAAGAACAAAGAACUUUUAAAGCGGUGUAUUGGUAAAAAAAUGUCUUCGAGAAGGUUUCCAGACGAGGACAAGUAGAUCCACCAAAUCAAGGUAUGAAGCUGUGUGUGUUUCGAAAAAUUGUUCUUGGUUACUAAGAGCAAAAGCAAUUAAAAAUUCUGAUGGACUUUUCCAAGUGAAUAAAUUUGUUGAUGUACACACAUGUUCUUCAACAUUGUUGCAACCUAAUCAUCGACAAGCAAACAAAUAUGUUUUGGGUGAAUAUGUUGCUGAUGUUUUGGCUGAAGACUAUAGUAGAGUUUAUCGGGGAAAAGAAAUUGUUAAUGAUAUGAAUGCUCAAUUGAAUAUCAAUAUCUCAUACCAUCAGGCAUGGCGUGCGAAGCAAUAUGCAUUGUUGUCGUUAAGGGGUACGAAAGAGGAUUCUUUUACCAAACUUCCGGCGUAUUGUCACAACUUGGCCAAACAUAAUCCGGGUACUGUCACACAUAUUAAAACAGAUGCUGAUGAUCGGUUUGAGUUUUUGUACGUCGCACUCGGUUGCUCGGUUAGUAUUAUCAUGUCCUAAUUUUUUUUUAAUAUUUAUUUUGGUGUAUUUGAAUAGAUAUACAAUGUAUUGUAGGUACGAGCUUUUGUCAAUUUUUGUAAGCCGACCCUAGUAGUAGAUGGAGCUCACCUAAAGGGCGAGUUCAAAGGUACCAUGCUACUUGCAGUUACUAAGGACGGACAAAAUCAAAUAUUACCGGUUGCAUAUGGUAUAUGCAAAAAUGAGUGUACUGAUUCUUGGACAUGGUUUUUUCAAAAACUACGUGAUUGCAUAGGAAAUAUGCAGGAGCUUACAAUUAUAUCUGAUAGGUCUCCAUCUAUAGCAACAUCCGUUGCCAACAUUUUUCCUCACGCUCAUCAUGGAAUAUGUGGUGUCCAUUUGUAUUUCAACAUAGUAUCUAGAUUCGGCAAGAGUAAGACGGUUAAAGGAAUUUUUUGGGAGGCGUGUAGGGCGUACACAGUUGAUGCUUUUGAUGCUGCCAUGGAUGUUAUGAAAAAGACAAAAGAACCAGUAUGGGAGUACUUAAAAAGUAUAAAUCCAGAAACCUGGUCAAGGGCACAUUUUAAAGGGAACCGAUACAAUCUUAUGUCGUCCAACAGUGCGGAGUCUAUAAAUGCAUUAUCUAGACACGCACGUAAGGUGCCAAUACUUAUGUUGAUCGAUUUUUUUCGUGUUACAAUGCAACAAUGGUGGUUUCAAAGACGUAACUUUGCAGGUAUUAAGUAAAUUUUUAAUAUUAAUGUUUUAUUAAUUUUGAUGUUAUUGAUCUUAACUUCUUCAUUUUGGUUGUUUCUUUAGCGGAAGCAACAACAAUACUUACCCCUUAGGCGGAUGAAAUUGUAAAAGAAAACAAGAAAACUUUUAGUAAAUGGGAUGUUCGCAUGAUCUCAAAUACGAAAUGCGAGGUCAAAAAGGGGGCACAAAAUGUGAUUGUUGAUUUUCAACAUAUGACAUGUACNGCACACCUGGCCGCACACACACAUAUAGUGUGUAUUUUGGCCAUACACCCUCUUGUAUAGCCUUAUAAACCCUCAUACAAUCAUAUAUGAUUGUAACACUUCAUUAUAAGUGUUUAGUAGUCCCUAAGGUGGUUCCAAAAUCAUUAUUUCAGUCGUUCAUAACACUAAUUAUAUUCAUAUAUAUGCCAAUAUAUGCUAAAUAGGAUUCGCGUGUGUACUUAAGCCACCACUUGAUGCUUAGCAACUGAUCCAACGUUUUCAUCAGAACCACUCACUACAGGUGAGUUCAUACCCCUUAAUCAAUGUUUUAAACUAUUUUUUAAAUGUUUUAUGGGGGAGGAUACAAGUAGAAUUAUGCUAAUUAUUAUAUCAAUCACAUGUGAUUAAUAAGCAGCAUUCAAAUGAUUGGCUACUCAUUAGCCGUUUUACUAAACAGUUUCCUUCAAAUGUAUUUCAUAAACACUUUAUGUGUCUAAAACUCCUUAUUUCUCUGUACAUUUUACUCUGUAUAUUACUUUUCAAACUUAUUUACAAUUGUGAUUCAAACAAAAGUUUCCUUAUACUAAAGUUGUUUUAUCAAACCCAUGCCUUCAAAACGUUUUAUAAAUUGACAUCAAGUCGAUCUUUUCUUAGAUAAUAAUUAUGUUCAAAGGUUUUACAAAACUUAUUUUAUGCUUUUAUAUUAUAAAUUGCAUGCCUCUAUAUGUAUAGUUAUAUAAGAAAUAUUUAAAAGACUUAGGACGACUAUCCACCCUAUUUCCUUUUCGCGCUUGAGAUGUGGUCUGUGGGGAUAUCGGGUACUCGUCCGAAGGUCAUUUAAAUAUUAGUUAUAUAACAUAUAUACAUAUAUAGUCAUAAAGGUCCUUCCAGUUCAUCCUAUGCCCUUGGGUAGCAAGGGUAUACAUCCAUGUCCAUACGUACCAGUUAGAUUACUAGUAAACUACCAUAGGGGUAGUUUAGGAAGAUACUAGAACCAUUACUAGAACGAAAUAUUAUACAAUGAGCCAGUUCAUUCAUGAGUCUUACUUUCUAGAACAUUACAAUACAUUACUAUACUUACUAGAUAGAGAGCACGUACACUACAGCUAGAACAUUACAGUACCUUACUAUACUAUUACAUAGAUAUGGUCACAUGUACAUGAGUACACUUACAGGAAUUACUAGUACACUUUAUAUGAAUAGAUUCUGUUAUAUAAUCCUUGUUCUUAUCUUUACCUUGUGAUUCAAUCACACAAUCGACAAGAUAAAUUGGAUUUAAUAUCCUAGUACCCAAGGAUACGUUGCGGGACUGACCAUUCCUAGAAUCUCUGUUAGCUACAGAGGUAAAAGCACAUCCACGGAUGUCAACGGUUGAUACCAUUACAGGUAUACUUUUGGAGACUGACUAUUCCUAUACCCAGCUGUUAGCAACAGAGGUAAAUGUACAUCUACGGAUGUCUUCAGUUAACAUUGUUAUUUGCCCGAGUACUAAAGGGUAAUACUAUUACAGUUAGGUCUUGGUAGAAGACUACAAUUAGAACAGUUAGGUCUUGGUAGAAGACUACAUUCAGAACAGUUAGGUCUUGGUAGAAGACUACAUUCAGAGCAGUUAAGUCUUGGUAGAAGACUCCUUUUGUUACUAGUAGGAAUCAUAGGGAUUUCUAGGGUUUUUCAAACGUUUACAGUUGUUUUACAAACAUGUUCAUACUUACAAUUCAUAUACAUUUUCAUACUUACAAUUCAUUUACAUUUUUAAUACUUACAAUUCGUAUACAUACAAAUACUUACAUUUCAAAUACAUACAAGUAUUUUCAUACAAAUUAAGACACUAAAAUUACUUAUGAUCUCACCAGCUUUAAAACUGAUACUCUCUUUCAAAAUUACUUGUAUCCUCAGGUCAUCAUAGACAGGUACCGAUGCAAGGAGAAAGGAAGAUGGAGCUUGUUCAAGACUCAUUUUUCAUUUUGAUUUAUGCUUUAGUGUUUAUCAAAAUUUGACAGAACACACUUGUAUCAAAAUUAUAUUAUUAAUGCAAUGGAUGAUGUUGUUGCUUGUUUACUACUUUUCAUUGUUGUGAUACUGUACAUGACGUCCUCCGCCCCAGAACGUUUCCACCGUUCAAUGGUUUUGGGGUGUGACAGUAGAAUCUAAAAAACAGUAUUUGAAUAGCUGUAUUGGUUGUUUAGUAAACUAUUUAUUUAACUUAAUGUCAAUUUAUAGUAGUUUCUACACAAAAUCGCAGUCCAAUCUUCUAAUAUGUCUGCAAUUCAUAGUCAAAAUUAACUGACGAAUGCAGUGUACUAUACUUAUAACACAACAGAUCAUUGUUCGAGUUGACAAAUCAUCCCCCGUCGAAUGACAACACAAUACAUUGCUACUUGAAUUGACAAGUCAUUGCACCGGGAAAAUAAGGAGUCGUUAUAAAUAGAUUUUAAUAUCCGUUGUAAUUGUAUCGUAUUACUUCCUCACUUGCAAUUAUUGACUCACCACAUAUAUGGAGGAACGAAGAGGAGGUCACUUUGGUUCAAGCUUGGAUUAUAACUGUAGAGGGGGAUUUUCCACCGGGUCCCCCACAAGUUCGUGCUGGAUCAUUUUGGUCUCGUGUCUGUCAUUUGUUUCACCAUUUAAUGGGGCGUACUCAAUAUCGAAGAAGAAGAGAUGUCAAAGCGAAGUUUCUGGAUUUGAAAAUAAAGGUGAAACAAUUUCAACGUAUUUAUAACGAGUUGGAUAAUGAACAUGCAAAUACGGAUGAAGACAUUCUACGGCAGGUGGCUUUGGAACUAUACCGUUUUGAAUAUGAUGGUAGCGAGUUUACCCACUUAGAUGCAUGAAAUCUUUUAAAGAAUGUCCCUUAUUUUUAAUAUGCAUGUUGGUUAAGUUAAUUGUUUUUCGUUAUUUUAGUUGCUUGUUGUUGUAUGUGUGUUUUGUUACUAUUUAAUAAAUGUCCAUUUCUUUUAAUGUAUGUUGUUUCCUCAAUCGCCAAUACAUAAUACGACAUAAAAUAAAUAACUAAUAUAUAAUACGCCAUAAAAUAUAAAUGGGGUACAUAAGUAACUAAUACAUAAUCCGACAUAAAAUAUAAACAGGGUACAGGAAUAACUAAUACGUAACACGACACUAAAAUAAAAACGGGGUACAUAAAAAACUAAUACAUAAUACUACAUAAAAUAUAAAGGUGCUACAUGAAUAACUACUGCAUUGAGGGAGGUAACAGGACCAUCGUUUCAUUUGGUAUUUCCCAAUGCACAUGUGAUGGUAUAGUAUUCACCAACUCAGAUCCAUAUGCAAGUCGAUACAAAAAAUUAGUGAACUUGUAAUCAACCAUUCUGUGAAUGGAUUCAUAUGUAUGGGUUCUUAGACAUGCUAUAGCGUGGCCACAUGGUAUACCGCCUUUUUGCCAUUUACCACAAGUACAUACCCUUCGUUCAAGUUGUACGUUGGUGGUGGCAAAAUUGUCAUCGACUUCAAAUGUAUCCCCAUACAAACGUCUUGCCUUCCAAUUAAAAGACUUGUUGAGACGUUUUUGAACCUUACUCUCAACGUAAGGGUUCAACCCACCAGACAACCUCCUUGUAAAAUUUGAUAUUUUAAUAAAAAUAAUAGCACAAUAAAAAAACUAAAUAUAACAAUCUCCCUUACCCGCCACUUCAGCCCAUUCACCAUACUUUGAUUGUAUUGACGUAGUGAUUAACUCAAUUAUCGUUGUUAUAGGAAACUCACGUAUGGAUAUAAUUUGCGAAAUUUCAGGGACGUCAAUCGAUUUAACAUUGUAACGUACUUUUGGGAAAAAUGCUCGUGUCCAUUUUGAAAUCGGUAUAUCGUCAAGCCAGUAAAUUGGACUCCUAAGCAAGGUGCAGAAAGGUGGUUUCCUACAUGUACUUUGCAACCUUUCCAAACACAAGUAAAAAUCAUCAACGCUAUAUGCAUUGCAUGACUUCCAAAACAACGAUUCGACUUCCGUAUUGUUAUGUCCGACAGACUCACGUAUCUUUCGAGCUAUAUCUUUAGGACAAUAUCCAUGAUAGGAAUCCGGGUAGGCACUCUGAACACCAAAGUCUAUUUUAUCACAUAGGUUGCUUAUGAAACCAACCUCUAUGUCCUCACCUAAACAAUCUUUUAACCUCAUCAUGAACCAUCUCCAUGAUUCUUCACACUCUAAGGUUCCCAAACCAACUGCUAAGAGUAGUGGUUCAUGAUUUCCAUCUAAAACCACUACGAAGUACAUUGUUGUCAGAUUGCUCCCAAGAAGGGGUAAAUAACCCACAUAUAUCAACGGCAUCAUGCACCUAAGGAAGGUACGAAUCUACAUAAAAAAAAACACAUAUUAGUGAUAAGUAAAAAGUAAUCGAGAUACGUUACCAUGAAAUAUUAUAUAACUCAAUAAAAGAAGUAUGUUAUACCACGCAACCUAAAGCCACAAAACAGAAUUGAAAGCGGUUGGUAUCGGUUUUCUUAAUGGCUGUGAAGGUAUUAGGAUUUGUUAUUUGAAGGUUAUGCAAGAAUAUUGGUAGCUGAGAAAAGCUUCUUUCGGUGUAAGUACUCAUUUUCAAAACCAAUGAAAGUGUUUUACAAUCAUCACACAAAUGCAAUAUCACACAAAUGCAAUUAUAAAUAGAAAAUAUUGUAUCUCUACUGUUCAAAAUUCAUAGUUUAACUUUUAAAUUCAUAGUCAAACCAGUUCAUUUCAUAGUCAAAUUUCACUGACCGGCAUGACAAUACUACAGAAUGUACUUGUCUGCAAUUCAUAGUUCAACUUUUUAAAUUCAUAGUCAAACCAAUUCAUUUCAUAGUCAAAAAUCACUGACCGACAUGACAAUACUACAGAAUGUACUAGACUACAGUUCAUAGUUCAACUUUUUAAAUUCAUAGUCAAACCAAUUCAUUUCAUAGUCAAAAAUCACUGACCGACAUGACAAUACUACAGAAUGUACUAGACUACAGUUCAUAGUUCAACUUUUUAAAUUCAUAGUCAAACCAAUUCAUUUCAUAGUCAAAAAGAAUUGUCUGUAAUAUGAUUUCUUCUGUAAAUGGGUGUCACUCAUUAUGAAAAAUUUAACUGGGAAAGUAACUCGAUUUAAAAGAAAAAUAAGGCUAAUGGCAUACUGUAAUUGCGGAGGAGAACGUAUUGUUAGGAUUUCGGGUACAACUAAAAACCCAGGAAGAUUGUUUUACGCUUGCCCAUAUUUGGUAUCAUGUUGUUAACGUCAUUUAAAUUUAAACCCUCGUGUUUACAUGACAAAAAUUUAUUUUCUUACUGUCAAUGUUAAAUUUAACAGGGACCAAAAUGCGGGUUUAUCAGUUGGGUUGAUGAAGAGAAGGACCAAUCAUCUAUAGUAAUAGCUAAAGUAGCUAACUCUAAUAAGCUCUUUCAAUCAGAAAAUAAGAAGUUAAAGAUAGCAUUGGUUUGUAGUUGGGUGUUGUUUGUAACACGCGUAGAUCAGGGCUAGUCAAUUUAUAGACGAUAGGCGUCAAAAAUGAAUUUUUGAUGAAAGAUUAUUUAUAAUAAAUAAUCUUAACUAAGUUGUAGUAUAUGUUACAAGGAUUCUAUACAUAUAAAGAACACCGAAAUCCGAGUUAUAACGAAGAAGUUAUGGUCUGUCGAAGUUUCGCGACAGAACCGGCACGGCACAGUGCGACGUAAAAAAUGAAUUUACGUUAGAGUGAUAUUUAGCCUUAGCAAUCUAAAUGAAAGUCGUAGAAUACGUUAAACCAUGAGCGUGCAUAAAAAGAACGCCCAAAUCUGACUUCGUAUGAGGAAGUUAUGAUUUUUCGAAGUUUCGACUUAGCGGUAUGCAGUCCGAAUACUUGAUUUGAAACCGAGCGGUUUUUAGCCAAAACAAUCUAAAUGAGAACCGAAUAUCUCAUUAAUUGUAGUAAAACGAUAAAAAGAUAGGCGAAAACGGACGUCGGAUGAAGAAGUUAUGAUUUUAUAACGGAGUUUUCCUGUCCCGGCCUACUAAAAAUAAAUAAUAAAAAUAAAGUCAAAAUUAGCCGGCGGAGUCUAAACGAAAGUUGUAGAUCGUAGUCUCACCUACGCGUAGAUAUAAAGAACGUCGAAAACGGAGUUCGUAUGAGGAAGAUAUGAAUUUUUGAAGUUUAUUAAAUAUUUUCGAUAUUUAAUUUAAAUAUAUAUUGACCGAUAUUAUCCGAAGGGGGGGAGUCAGCGACCUUAUUGUCAUUACGCCCAGCGUAAUCUCAAGUUACGCCCAGCGUAAUUCGACCUUCCAGCCCCUAUAAAAGGGUGUCGAGGGCAGCCGAGUAGUUUGCUCAUUUCUUCCAUUUUUCUCGCGUUUUUGCAUCGUUUUUCGUGCAAGAAUUAUCCCGAAGCCCCGGUAUCAUUCCCGAGCCCCGAAGCAAGUCCCGAGGCCCCGAAGAUCCCGAGAAGUGCAAUUCCCGAGCCGAAGCUCUAUCCGCGAGGAGUCCGGUUUUUGUGAAGAUCUUUCAGAUCUGCCGAAGAAUACUACUUCUACAAGCCGUAGUGUUGUUCGAUCAUCUUCUAAUCAAGUGAGUGUGUGAUUACUUUCUUCUAACGCAUAAAUAUUAAGUAUUUGCUAUGAAAUACAUGCUAUGUGUAUAAUAUAAAGUUGUUUAUAUGUGUGGGUGUAUAGUCCAUUUCAUAAACACGAUUUUAAUACAAGUAUUGUUUGAAUGUAUUAAAUAUAUGUUUGGUGUGAAUGUGUAGUUACCUUCUUCUAACACAUAAAUAUGAAGUAUUUUCUAUGAAAUACGUGCUAUGUGUUUAUAUAUUAUUUGUCUAUUUGAGAUGGACGUGGAAUUGAUGUUGUAUACAAGUGUUAAAUGAUUUAAACUGUGUAAGUAUUUAUAUCUACGAAAAUGUUGGGUAGAACUUGGGUAGAUGGGAUAGUUGGUGAUUAUGGAGUUAGCGCCUAUUGUAUAAACCUUGACGACUAUGGAGUCAGCGCACGUUGAGUAAACCUUGGCGACUAUGGAGUUAGCGCUUGUUAAGUGAACCUUGGCGACUAUGGAGUUAGCGCUUGUUAAGUGAAUCUUGGUGACUAUGGAGUUAGCGCAUGUUAAGUGAUCCUUGGUGACUAUGGAGUUAGCGCCGCUUGAGUAAACCCCGGCGACUAUGGAGUUAGCGUCUGAUAACUAUGGAUUUGGUACCUGAUAGAUAAACUUUGGCAGCAAUGGACUUCGUUUCAAUUCCUUAGGUAAAUUCUUAGGAAUGAAUGAAUGAAGGAUAAUGGANUGAAUUCAUAGUCAAACCAGUUCAUUUCAUAGUAAAAAAGAAUUGUCUGUAAUAUGAUUUCUUCUAUAAAUGGGUGUCACUCAGUAUGAAAAAUUUAACUGAGAAAGUAACUCCGAUUUAAAAGAAAAAGAAGGCUAAUGGCAUACUGCAAUUGCGGAGGAGAACGUAUCGUUAGGAUUUCGGGUACAGCUAAAAACCCAGGAAGAUUGUUUUACGCUUGCCCAUAUUUGGUAUCAUGUUGUUAACGUCAUUCAAAUUUAAACCCUCGUGUUUACAUGACAAAAAUUUAUUUUCUUACUGUCAAUAUUAAAUUUAACAGGGACCAAAAUGCGGGUUUAUCAGUUGGGUUGAUGAAGAGAAGGACCAAUCAUCUAUGGUAAUAGCUAAAGUAGCUAACUCUAAUAAGCUCUUUCAAUCAGAAAAUAAGAAGUUAAAGAUAGCGUUGGUUUGUAGUUGGGUGUUGUUCUUGGCAGUUCUUGUUUACAAGUUGUAAGCUUUUUAAUAUUGUUUUUAUGGUUUUGAAGUUGUUAGGUCAAUAAAUUGUUGUAUUUAUACUUAUGUUUAGAACAGUGUACUUGUAACGUUAAAACAAAUGUUGUAGUCGUUCUUAUGUUGUAAAUAUUGAUAAAUUAUUAGUAGGUCAUUAAUUUGUUGUAAUUGUCGUAACGUUAAAUUUUUUUCUAUCCGUUGACGAAACUGUAAAAAUAAACUAAUAAUCAAAUCCAACAUUAAUUUAGAUAUACAAUUAUAUAAUCCAACUACAUAGGACCAAGACUAGACCCCCAAAAAAAUUUUGUCAUCCGUUGACGGAACUCUAAAGCUGCGUUCUUUGGGUCAAUAAGAACACGUAUUGGUUGACCUGAAACGAAUUGCUCCAUAAACAUACAAACAAAAACACCGCAAUCUCCCAAAUGACUACUUUGUUGGGGAACAUUUUCUUCAUAAAUGAAUUGCAUAUUCAAUGAAAUCCUUCGGAUGUUCCUCCAGGCCCAAUACCUAAUCUUGUCCAAAUAAUUUGCCACCCGACGUUCAAAUUUGGAAAAGAUUCCUUCGGAUUGGAAUUUUUCAUAAGCACCUCUACCAAGACUGUCAUAAAUAUGCACUUCCAUUGACGCUAAUCGUAGUUCCCCAAAUAGCCAAUGAUUAGGGGAUGAAUGAAUCGGCAAUAAGACCUGUAUAAGGAUCAGAAAAUAAAAUUAUGUUUAUUUACAUCACAAUACAAAAACAUNUCAUUUUGUCUUCCAAACGAUCCUUUUUUACCAUAAUGUGUAUCAACUGCUCAUCCUUCUCAGCAAGCCAUUUUUCAGUCGUUUUGAUUGCCUUCUUACUCUUUUUUAUCCAAUCUUUAUGCUCUUUGAUUUUGUUUUUAUUGAGGUCUAUCCAUUCUUGAGCUUGUUUGCAUUCCGAUGCAAUAUCAUUAGCAAGUUGAGUGAGAAGUCGGGAUGAAUCUUUGUCCUCUUCUUGUUGUUCUUCAGCCUUCUUCAAUUCUUCAAAAUUUUCAUGUGACAUAUAUGGCCCGACUGAAGAGGGUGUAAAAAAAGGGUCUACCGAAUCACAGUAGUAACAAUCUACUUCAUUGCAUGAGCAAACUUCGAAUUUGUGUGAGGAACUCAUAAUAAAGUCGACAUUGUAAUAAACUUGUGCUAUAAGUGGUAUUUAUACAUACUAGACAGGAAUGACAAGUCCAACUUUGAAAUGACUAAACAGUAAUGACAAGCCACUGCAGUAACCUGCAAAUCGUAGUGGAACCCUUAAGUGACAAGACAUAAAUGACAAUUUGACAUGAUAAAUCACCGCAUAAAGCUGAAAAUCGUAGUCCAAAUGUAACCAUUUCAUAGUCAAAGUUUUAAUUCAUAGUCCUGUAUUUAUUUAUAUAAAUAGAUGUUUAAGAUCUAAAAACCAAACACCCAAAUCACCUAAACAAAACGAACUCCAAUUAUUAGAAAUGUUGUCGAAUGCAGCAAGUUCUUCGAAUGAAGUACCUGGUUCCAAUUCUGAAAGGCCAUGGACGACAAACGAGGUGUUAGUUCUUACACGAUGCUGGCUAAGUGUUAAGGAUGGUGUAUCGUUACUUGCUCCCCCGCAUUGCCUAAUUGGUGAUGAAUGGACUCGCAUAACAUCUUUGUUUAACCAUGAGAUGGGAGAAGGACAACAAAGAGAAAAAUCAGAUUUUGUUACUAAGUGGAUGGAUGUAAAGGAAGAAGUGACAUGGUUCAAUCGAGCAUGUAAUUAUGCGAAAAGUAACAAUGUUCGUUAUCGGAACGAAGAAGAGUUCUUGGAAGUUGUUACAGAUUUUUACAUCUGUGAGCAUGACGGCAGAGUUCUUGGAAGUUGUUACAGAUUCUUGGAAGUUGUUACAGAUUGUUACAGAUGUUUCAAUCUACUAAAAACAAAAUAUAAAUUAAUGUAAGUAUAAGAACCUCUUUAACUUCACUAUAAUCAUUUACAUCAAACAUAUCAUCAUCAAAUUUGUUCCCCGCAUAGUCAUUCCUCUCCUCCAACACCUACAUUAAAAAUAAAACUUUAUACUUAAUAACGAAAGACACAUUAAAAAGUAAUUAUUAAAAUCGUAAAGGUAAUAUCUAUAACAACCUUGUCGUCUUCAAUAUCACCAAAAAUAUUUUCAGUUGUAUUGUUUUUAUUCAUCACUUCAUCUUGUACAACCUAUAUUUUCAAAUAUAAAAUAUGAACACAGGUAUUCAUAUAUGUUAAUAAAAUUUAAAAAAUAAUGUAGCGUGUAACUAACCUGGUCAUCAUAUUUUCUUUGUGACACUAUAGGAUCAUCAAAAGUAAUGUCAUUCCAAAAUUGUUCAGUAUUCACUUCUUUAACAAAAACAUCUGUAGGUUGUCGGUUCAUAAACACAUGCUGCUCCAGUGCAUGUAGCCGUUUCAACACAUCGUCUAGGUUGUGUUUCUCACUGCCCCUACCUCUACCAUGAGAGCAACCACUGGACGAUAUACUAGACGAAGAUUCGUCUUGUCUCCUAAAAUGGUCCCACUGAAGAUGNCUGGUUUCCCUUCACCAUAUACAUACUCUUGAAAUGACAUAUAAUAACAAGAUGUCAUCUCACCAUCACUCGGUAACAUGUUUUGUCUUGGUGUUUGCCCCUCCUAAAAAAUCAAACAUAUUAAAAAUGCAUAUAAAAGUAUAAUAAUCAAGUUUAUUAAUAAUAAACGAAAAAUUUAUAAACCUGUAUCUUUGAAAAAAUCUUGUUCACGUCAACCCAUUUCAAUUUUUUUGUUCCACUCCAUCGUUUCAUCCGAGGCAUGUCUUUAUUUUUUCUCAAUACAAAUCCACAUGUACGAACAGCCAGAAUCAUCUCAUAUAUCUAUAUCUAUAAUUUUUUACAAUUACAGUAAUUAAAGUUAAAAUUAAAAUAAAAAACAUAACAAUAAAACCAUUUAAAUAUAAGAAAAUUUGUAUACCCUUAUUGGAGCCGUAAAUCCUGAGACGGAGUACUUUAAAGUUUGACGACGCUCAGUAAGUGAUAAAUAAUUAUUUAUUUUGUUUCAUGUAUCCUCAAGGUCAACAUAAGUAAAAUCCCAAAGAUAGCUACCCUCAAGCGAAACUAGCAAAACAAAAAAACAAAAUUGGUUUUUAUAUAAAUUAUAACUUUAAUAAAAUAAAACUUUUAACGUAAACAAAAUAUACUUGUUCCAGAGAUCCAAAUUCUCAGCUAAAAAAAAAAACAAUCUUGUGGCACCCGAUCAUUAAUUUCUUUUCCCAAAAAACCUUCACACAAAAUGUAUAUCAAACAUGCUCUAACUGCAUCAACGUCGUCAACUUCUAAGAAUGUUAGAUUUAAAAUUAAACGUUUCAGGUCGUCGAUUUUCACCGAACUAUUGGUAUGGUCCGGAAAUAGCCGCUCACGCAAUAAACAUCUUUUUUUUUACUAGUUAAUAAUUUUUCCAACGCUUUUUUCCCAAUGUUUUUUGGAUACUCCCCAAAAUUGAAGCCGAUUAUCAAACAAAACUCUUCCGGCCCAUAAACCAUUUUCGUAUUGCCUACUCUAAAAUAUAAUCGUUUUAUUCCAUCUGGAGAUAAAACAGGGUCCGGCCGGAUCUGAUGAAGGAACAUUUUAUGGAACAACAAUGUGUCCCCUUAUAAACGAGGGACAUCCAUAAAAUAACCAAAUACAGUAUCUCUGAAAAUGACACGCCUGACACCAUCUAAAACUUCAAAUACCCAUAUAUUACCGCCCGAGCCUUUUAAGUUCACAAUUGCUUUCAUAUUGAUAAAACUAAAAUCAUGCUGCAAAAAAAACACAAAAACAAAUUAGAGAACUAAAAAAUAUUUUGUUUUUAAAAUAUAUGAUUAUGAACUGCAAUAAGUUUAUAAACAAUAAUAAUUUUAGUAAUGCAAAUACAAAUUCUUAAUUAAUAAUUUAUAUAUUUACGAUAAAAAACAAUAACAAACACAUAUAUAAACAAUUUUCCAAGUUAUAUAACAAAUAUAUUUACGAUAAAAAAACAAUAUCAUACAUAAUUAUAUAAACAUUUUAUUAAACAAAUUUUCAACUUAAACGACAAAUAUAUAAACAAUUUUUAUCUUUCUAAUUAUAUAAACUAACAUUUUAUAACCAUAUAAACAAACAAUUUUUCAAAUAAAACGACAACCAAAUUAACAAUUUUGCAAGUUAUACGACAAAUAUAUACAAAUUUUCAACUUAUACGACAAAUACAAACAAUUUCUAACAAUAUAUAUACGACAAAUUUUCAACUUAUACAAAUGUUAUACUUAUACGACAAAUAUAUAUACAAACGACUAUUUUGCACAUACUGUAAUUUAACUAUUUUUCACUUUAUAUAAACAAUUAUACGAUAAGAAUAUACAAGUUUUCAAGUUAUACAACAACUAAACAAACAACAAAAAUAACAAAUUGUAAACAUUAUCUACGCAGUCUCUACUUGUACAUUCAAACAACCACUAACAAAAUAGCAUUUAAAGUUCAAGUAUACUAAAGAAAUAUUAAAACUAUCAAACACAACAAAAUUACCCUUUCACAAACUUUAUAAUUUCUAUUUUUUUUACACUAAAUAAUAUAAUAAAUGAUAAAAUAAUAAAUAGUUAAAACAUUAAAAGAGUUAAAAUCUAACCAUAUUUGCGGGAUUGUUGACAUAAUCCUUCAUUUUCUUCAAAAACUAGCCAAAAUCGCGAGAAUAGCCCACAGAUAAAGAGAGUUUUUGUGUAGAGAAGGGUGAAAAAUGGAGAAAAAAACGUUUAUAUAGUCAAAACUAGGGGAAAUCGCAGAUGGAAUACUCAUUUCGCAGAUGGAAUGGUCAUUUCGCAGAUGGGGCAAUUCCAUCUGCGAAAUUGUGGGCUAUUUUUGCAAUUUCGAUUUUUUUGGCUAUUUUUGUAAUGUAAUUAGUAUAAAUAGCUAUUUUUGUCAUUUUCUCUUAUAAUUAAUAUACUAUUAUCAUAAUAUAUUAAUAAAUUAUUUAUUUCAAUUUAUUAAUCAAAUAAUAAAUCAGUCUCUCUCCAAAAGUCAUCAUGUCCAAUUGUUGGGUUUGAGGGCAACCCAAAAGGACCGUGCUACUAUCAAUUCAAGUAUAUAACAAUUAUAGUUAUGGUCUUAGACACCUAAUCCAACAUAUAUAUGGGCCCCACCCUGGGGUAUCUUUCAACCCAAUAAUACAAUAGUGGGCCCCGCUUUGGGGUCUAUUUCAACCCGAACAUACGAUAGUGGGCGCCGCCAUGGGGUAUAUUUCAACCCAACAUACAAACACAUAUAAGCUAUCAUCCGAGAUACAUAAUAAUGGGUCGACAUUGGUGCCUUCAGCUCAUUGAUACAAUUAGAAAACUCACCUUACAGACGAGUAAAAAUUGAAACAACACACUGCCCCAAAACCAACUCUACCGGUCACUUUACAAAUAACAGUGACCAAAUCUUAGAUUACAGGAUCAAAAUACUCGAAAUACCCCUAAGUCAAACUUGAUCAAAAUCCUGGUCAAAGUCAAAAGUCAAUUGGGUUAAAUCCAUUGGACAAAAAUCCUAAUAUAAGGUCUUACGUCGUGACUAUUCCUUGGUCACAUCGUGAGAGUCGACCAAGUACAAUUCCAACAACUCGUUCCAGGCUCAGCAACUCGUUGUCACUUCGUGAGACCUUAUGUCUCAUAUCGUAACUUCAGUCUGCAUCCAAAAAUCAAUGUUUUAAGUCCUUAUUCCGUUAAGAUAUUGAAUCCAUUUCAUCCAGAAGCUAAAGGGGACCCCUAAGGUCCAUAAAAGUGUUUGCUUUAUGGCCAUGCAUGCACAAUGCAUGACCCAACAUAUUCUAGGUCAAAAAGUGGAAAAUAUUCAUAAAACUCAUGCAUGGCUCUUAUACCACACUAACUUCUAGGUCUAGACAAUAUGAUGAUCAAAGAACCUUUGGAAUCUAUAAAGUAGCUAACUUUAUGGAUUUACUUCACUCAAGCAUGCUUAACAUGAAGAAAUAUGGAUAGAAUCCUAGAUCUACCCAUAAUAUGCAAUAAAGCUUGAAGUUUUGAUACUUACAAAGGUACAACAACAAGAAAAGAUGAUGAUGAUGAUGAUACUUUGUCCACUCCACCACUAGAACACUUCUUUCCUCUUAUUUUCUCAUUAUUUAAGCUAGAAAGUGCACCAAAAUGACUACGGGCUUCAAGAAUGAUUGAUAUCAAGGUUUAUGGAGGCUCAGAGUGUGAAGGAGGUUGAGGGUGAACAACCCUAGCCCUCUCAUUUCAUUAAAUACCAAAAAUAUAGGGUUUUGGUUAUUAGUCCACUCUCACGUUGUGAGCAACACGGGCUCACGUCGUGAGAAUCAAAGGAAGCAGGUCAACAAGUCAACACUGCCUCACGACGUGAGAGACAUUGCUCACAUCGUGAUUACAUCAAAAUGCUAAAGAAAACCUCGAAAUCAUGUACCUCAAAACUGAAUGUUACAGAAUAAAGUUUUAGGUUUAAUGAAAUAAUUUUUUUUGAUAAGUCGGGGAAGAGUAACUUAUCCAGAAUGACUUUUCUCAGGUGUGAGACUGCUAUAAGUUGUUUAAAAAAAAUAUUAUCUAAACUUUCUUUAUAACUUAUAUCGGUUCCAUACUGAUUAUAAAUUAAAAGUUCAUUUUUAAAACUUUCUUAGACAUCUUCUUAAUAUUCGUGUCAAAUAAAACAUAAGGAGUACAAAACAAAAUUUACACUUGGUUCUAGAGUUAAUAAGCAAAGGUUAAAAAUAAAAGGAAGGAAGAAGAAGGAACAUAAAAGAAGUGGGAGGGAAUUCAUACUUAUAAGGUUAAACCAGAG